AUUUUUAGCAGAUACCAAGAUGCAAAGGGAAAAUUUAACGAACCCCUUAGCAACGACAUCAAAGGUCUAUUGAACUUAUAUGAAGCUUCACAUGUAAGGACUCAUGGAGAAGACAUCUUAGAAGAGGCACUUGCUUUCUCCACUGCUCAUCUUGAAUCUGCAGCUCCACAUUUGAAGUCACCUCUGAGUAAGCAAGUCACACAUGCCCUUGAGCAAUCUCUCCAUAAGAGCAUUCCAAGAGUUGAGACACGAUACUUCAUCUCUAUCUACGAAGAGGAGGAACAUAAGAAUGAUGUGUUGCUUCGAUUUGCAAAACUGGACUUCAACUUACUUCAGAUGUUGCACAAACAAGAACUCAGUGAAGUAUCAAGGUAUGCUAGCUAGUAAUUUACAUGAAAAAUAUAAAUUAAUUGUUACUCGAUAGUAAUUUCUCAAAUCAAUUCUAAAUUUUUAAGAUUGAUUCUUAUUUUAUAGGUGGUGGAAAGAUUUGGAUUUUGUGACAACACUUCCAUAUGCUAGGGAUAGAGCAGUUGAGUGCUACUUUUGGACGAUGGGAGUGUAUGCUGAACCUCAGUAUUCUCAUGCUCGUGUCAUGCUUGCUAAGACUAUAGCAAUGAUUUCUAUAGUAGAUGACACAUUCGAUGCUUAUGGAAUCGUAAAAGAACUCGAGGUUUACACCGAUGCCAUACAGAGGUAUGAACAAUUGCCUCUCCAACAGCAAAUGGUUAAUUUCUUAGAAGGGAAACUUACUUAAUCUUUAUCUUUUAUUAGGUGGGAUAUCAGCCAAAUUGAUCGGCUCCCAGAUUACAUGAAAAUCAGUUAUAAAGCACUUCUAGAUCUCUACAACGAUUAUGAAACAGAGUUGUCAAUGGAUGGUAGAUCCGAUGUUGUUCACUACGCCAAAGAAAGAGUAUGAAUCAUGACUUAUACUAGUUAUCUCAAUAUUAAUCAGUUUGUUAACGAAUAUCUGUAGCUUUUUCUCCUCAUCUUUGCGUAUAAGGAAAUUCAUUUUUUGAAUAAAUACUGAUGUUUGAGUGUCUUUGCUUGUUGUUGACAGAUGAAAGAAAUCGUGAGAAACUAUUUUGUGGAAGCAAAAUGGUUCAUUGAAGGAUACAUGCCACCUGUUUCUGAGUAUCUUAGCAAUGCAUUAGCUACUAGCACUUAUUACUUGCUUACGACAACAUCCUACUUGGGCGUGAAAUCUGCUAACAAGGAAGAUUUUGAAUGGUUGGCUAAGAACCCUAAAAUCCUUGAAGCCAAUGUGACUUUAUGUCGAGUCAUUGAUGAUAUAGCAACCUAUGAAGUUGAGAAGGGUAGAGGUCAGAUUGCAACUGGAAUUGAGUGUUAUAUGAGGGAUUAUGGCGUAUCAACAGAAGUAGCAAUGGAAAAAUUCCAAGAGAUGGCUGAGAUAGCAUGGAAGGAUGUAAAUGAAGGAAUUCUUCGACCAACACCUAUCUCUACAGAAAUCCUUACUCGUAUUCUCAAUCUGGCUCGUAUUAUAGAUGUCACUUACAAGCACAAUCAAGAUGGAUACACUCAUCCAGAGAAGGUUCUAAAACCUCACAUUAUCGCUUUGUUGGUAGAUUCUAUUGAAAUUUAAAUUAUCAAUUCACCAAGGAAUACUUGGUACUUCUCAGUCCCUUAAAUAAGUAAUUGGUGAUAUCGUGCAAUGAAGUUACUUUCUUAACUUUCUUCUUUGUAUUAUCAUUGAUAAUAUUUAAAUUUAAUUACUUCAGUUUCUACCUAGCUGCUUUAGCUUAAUUUGUUUAAGUUAUGUAAAACAAUUCUGAAAGUCAUGACGUGAAAGAAUAUGCUUCAACAGUUUCUGAUUAGCCACAAGAAAAUAAAUAAAAAAUUGAAUAUUCCGUACCUGUCAAAAACGUAUUGACCUCCAUUGCAAGGGCAACUGCGAAUUUUUGGACAUUAUAGUCAACAGGAGCCAUUUGUUUAUUUCUUUUUUAAUUAUUAAAAUUUGGUAAGAUUUGAAAGUAUAUAUAUAAAAAAAGAAAUUAUCAUGUAUUAGCUAGGGAUAAUUUUUCUCACAUGAAAAUAUUUCAAUGGAACGGUUUAUUCAUAACCUUAAAAAGAUUGAAUCAUUUGAAUUUAUAUUUAGCGUGUCAAGAAAAGUACCGCAGAACUAACAUUAAAAUCAAGAAUCAGAAAAAAUCAUAUAUAUUCUUUUAUAUAUAAUUUUAAAAAUGAAAAUUCCUAAGGAUGAGUAUGUCUGUAUUACAACUCGAGGUCAUUCAACUUUAAAUUUAUUAUUCUAAUCUUUUUAUUUGGUAAAAGUCAUCCAAUUUUAAAGUUUAGCACACAAUUUUUUAUGUGAUAAAUUUUAUCAUUUUAUGUAACAAGUAACAAAAAAUAAAAAAAUAAAAAUGUAGGGCUAAUUUCUUGCUAGAUUAAUGAGAACUCCUGCAAGUGUCUACAACUUCCAUGUUUUUUUCUCACAUUUGUCUCUACACUCCCCUCCUCAUUUCGUUUUUCAGUUGUUUACAAUACUAUGAAUCCUAAAGGGACUACUUUUGUUAGACAAAUUAAAUCCCUAGUAGUAUGUAAUAUUAUUUGUGGUAAUAGUUAUAUAUAUAUAUACAUAUAAACCUCACGAAGGAAAAAGAAAAAGAAAAAAGAGAGACGAGAUUAAGAACUUGUUUGGAUGAGCGAGCUUAUAAAAAUAAAUUAUAAGUCAAAAUUAAAAAUCAUAAGUAGAUGAUACUCUAUUUUUGACUUUUGACCUAAAAAUGAGUACUUAAAAACACUUUUUAAUCUUUCCAAAUGAGCACUAAGCUAUGAACAAACUUAAAAGAAAAAAAAUACUUUUAUGUAGAAAUUGACAAGUGAAAAUGAAUUUAGGUUACCUCAGAAAGUAAAAACACUUUGAGGCAAUUUUGAAUUCAAAGUUGCUACAUUCUGCAGCCAAAGAAAUAAAAAAUUCUUAAAGUGCCAUCAAAGUAGACCCUGAAUCAACAAGCACAUAUGAAUAUGCAAUAAUGACAAGAAAAACUAACAUAAACAAUCACUACAUUAUUAAAAAUGAUCUUUAACAGCAAUUAAUUAACAAUUGUCGCUAAAUAUUUAUUUUUAGCGACAAUUAGCAUUCUUUGUAUAUGUCCAUAAAGGUUUUAGCGACAUUGAAUUUAAUGGCACUUAACUAAUGCCAAUAAAGACUUUCAGGGGCGUAUACAAGAGGGGGUCACCGGGUUCACGUGAACCCAUGGUCCCCUCCCGAAAUCAUAUAUAGUAGUGUUAUAUUUUUUUAAAAUAUUUAAAUAUAGAUGUAUGAACCCAGACUCGAAGUAUCAUAUAAUGUAGUACGAUGAUGAUUGGGUGCACCUCUCUAGGUGAGGUUAGAAAUUUGAAUCUUUUAUCUAUCUUGUUUUAGUUUUCUUUCUAAGAUUUUGUAACUGGUUUGAAUAAAUAAAAGAUAAUUUUGGACCUAUGAUUUUAAAAUUUUAAUGAUUUUCAGUAAAAAGAAUCUAACCGAUCAAAUUUAUGUCUUAGAUCCACCUUUUUGUAAUAGUGCACCCAUUAUCUAUAAAUCCUGAAUAUGCCUCUGAAGACUUUAAUACUCUUUAUUAAUUAUCUAUUUAUUACCGCUAAAAAUUAUUUUUGUUAUAGUGAAUAACGAACACAUACAACGUCACUAUAUUUUUUUAUGUAUAAUAUAUAGUCUUUUUCUUGAGUUGAAAUUAGAAACUCUAGUGAAGCAUCGGGCCAACAAAAUCUCCAGUCGCCAAACAAGGAAAAAGAAUAUGAUAAGGCACAAGGAAUUAAAAAAGAAUUGAUUUAAUUUCUACACAGUUAUCAUAUAAUAUUUUUUUUUGUAUAUAUUAGGUCUCUAGAAGAUAAGUAUGGGCAACAUGCUACAACUGGUUAAAAAAAUUUAAACAUGGUCAGAUGGUCACUUAAUUAUGAGCUGUUUUUACAUAAAGUUAAUUAUGAACUGUUUUUACAUAAAGUCAUUCAGUUUUGAUUUUUAACUCACAAGUCACUUAACUAUGAAUUUUUUCAUAGAAAGUUAUUCAACAACUUUGAUUUUUAAAUCAAAAGUCACUCUAUUAUGGAUUCUUUUCACAAAAAAUAACUAAACUGUGUGUUUUACUUGCAAAAUCAGUCAACUUAUUUAAUUAAUUUUUUCAAUAAAAUUUAUUAACUUGAAAUUUUUAUUGAAAACUAAAAUUUUUAAAAAUCUAGAUAUUAUCUCAUAUAAACAGUUAAAAAUAGUAUAUAAAAUUAAAAUUCAAAAAGGAAAAAAAACAUGCUGAGUGUGUGUAUAUAUAGGCUGCGUAUUAUUGCUCAGUUCGGUUCGAUUUUGAAAUUUAUCGGUUUGACUUAUUGGUUAUCGGUUUGACUUAUUGGUUAUCGAUUUGUAGAGAUGCUAAACCGCUAUAGAACCAUUAACAUAUUGACUUAUCGGUUAUUGGUUUAUCAGUCAAACCAAAUGAACGUAACCAUGCACAUGAAUUCACAAAUUGCAUCUUGCUCAAUAACAAACACUUUUAUAUUGUAGAAUAACCAAGAGUUCGAGAUAGCCAAAAAUAAAAGUAGGAAACUAAACUCUAAGUCAAGGACUUAAAUUUAUAUACAAUGGUAUAAAUAAAUUAUUUAAUUUAUUAUUGAAUUAUCGGUUAACCCGUUAAAAAAAAGUUUCAAACUAUUAAGAACUGAUAACUGGAUAACAAAAAAAAUUCAAAACCACUAUCAUAAAAAUAGCUAAAUUAUUAACUCAUUACUGAUAAAUGAAAAAAAAAAAUUAAUACGAAUUAUCGAUUUUGAUUAGAUUUUCCUAAUGUAUAGUCAACAAAGUGCGGCAGUUGGAUGACUAGCAACAGUAACAAGGUAUUUUUUAAACGUGAAAGAUGGCUGAGACAGGGGUUCUCACCAUACAUUAUAAAUACUCUGAUUUUCCACAAGCAAAGUGUAUAUACUAGAAAUGGCCUCAGCUGCAGUAAUGAGUAACUAUCAAGAGGAGGAAAUUAUUCGCCCCGUUGCUGACUUCUCUCCAAGUCUUUGGGGUGAUCGGUUCCAUUCAUUCUCCCUUAGCUUGACAAUCAGGUAUUUAAGGAACUUCCUUUGUAAUGCUGUUAUAUAUAUAAUCAGUUGUUGGAACAGACUUGUUUUAAAAAUGAUUUUUUUUUUGUUUUUAUAUAUAUGUACAGGUUGCGGAGAAGUACGCUCAAGAGAUUGAAACUUUGAAGGAACAAACAAGGAGUUUGUUGUCUGCUUCUUGUGGAAUAACAUUGACUGAGAAAUUGAAUCUGAUAGACAUUGUUGAGCGUCUUGGCAUAGCUUAUCAUUUUGAGAAACAAAUAGACGAUAUGUUGGACCAUAUUUUUAACAUUGAUCCUAACUUUGAGGCUCAUGAAUACAAUGAUUUAUGCACUCUAUCCCUUCGAUUUCGAAUCCUAAGACAACAUGGUUACAACAUCUCUCCAAGUACGUAAUUAAUGUAUAUCAACCAACCACUACGUACAUACAUUCUUCUUUGUUUUUGGAGUAAUUGAAAUUCUAGCUACCUAAUUCUUUGUUUUCAACUGUUCAAUUCAUGAACCAGAAAUUUUUAGCAGAUUCCAAGAUGCAAAGGGAAAAUUCAAGGAAUCUCUUAGCAACGACAUCAGGGGUCUAUUGAACUUAUACGAAGCUUCACAUGUAAGGACUCAUGGAGAAGAUAUUUUGGAAGAGGCACUUGCUUUCUCCACUUCUUAUCUAGAGUGUGCUGCUCCACAUUUGAAGUCACCACUGAGUAAACAAGUGACUCAUGCCAUUGAGCAAUCUCUUCAUAAGAGCAUUCCAAGAGUUGAAACACGCUACUUCAUCUCCAUCUACGAAGAGGAGGAAUGUAAGAAUGAUGUGUUGCUUCGAUUUGCAAAACUGGAUUUCAACUUACUUCAGAUGUUGCACAAACAAGAACUAAGCCAAGUAUCAAGGUACGCUAGUAAUUUAAAUGAAAAAAAGUACUAUUAUUUGUUGAUAGUGACUCUCAGAAACUGAUAUACUUUAUAGGUGGUGGAAAGAUUUGGAUUUUGUGACAACACUUCCCUAUGCUAGGGAUAGAGCAGUUGAGUGCUACUUUUGGACUAUGGGAGUGUAUGCUGAACCUCAAUACUCUCAGGCUCGUGUCAUGCUUGCUAAGACUAUAGCAAUGAUCUCAAUCGUAGAUGACACAUUCGAUGCCUAUGGCAUUGUUAAAGAACUUGAGGUCUACACUGAUGCAAUACAGAGGUACGAAUUACUUCUUGAACAUUUAUGAUUUAAUUAGAUGAUACUAUAAAUUAAAGGGAAAAAAGCAAACUAUAUCGAACAACACAUCUUUGUUCAAUUUUGAAUUUUUGCCUACAAACACUAGAUCACAUUUCUAUAUGUUCUGAUGAACUUAUCAAAUUCAUUUCUUUUUCAUUUAUUAGGUGGGAUAUUAACCAAAUUGAUCGGCUCCCUGAUUACAUGAAAAUCAGUUACAAAGCACUUCUAGAUCUCUACAACGAUUAUGAAACAGAGUUGUCAAAUGAUGGUAGAUCAGAUGUUGUUCACUAUGCAAAAGAAAGAGUAUGAAUCAUGACUUAUUCCAGUUAACCAGUUUAUCAACCAAUUGUGAAGCUUUUUCUCCCAAUUUUUGUUUGUAAUGAAAUUUAUUCUUUGAAGAAGUACGGACGUUUGAAUAUAUAUCUUUUGGUUGUUAUUGAUAGAUGAAAGAAAUUGUGAGAAACUAUUUUGUGGAAGCAAAAUGGUUCAUUGAAGGAUAUAUGCCGCCAGUCUCUGAGUAUCUUAGCAAUGCAUUAGCUACUAGCACUUAUUACUUGCUUACGACAACAUCCUACUUGGGCAUGAAGUCUGCUAACAAGCAAGAUUUUGAAUGGUUGGCCAAGAACCCUAAAAUUCUUGAAGCCAAUGUGACCUUAUGCCGAGUCAUAGAUGACAUAGCCACCUAUGAAGUUGAGAAGGGUAGAGGUCAGAUUGCAACUGGAAUUGAAUGUUAUAUGAGGGAUUAUGGGGUAUCAACAGAAGUAGCAAUGGAAAAAUUUCAAGAAAUGGCUGAGACAGCAUGGAAGGAUGUAAAUGAAGGAAUCCUUCGACCAACUCCCGUGUCUACAAAGAUUCUCACACGCAUUCUCAAUCUUGCUCGCAUUAUUGAUGUCACUUAUAAGCAUAAUCAAGAUGGAUACACUCAUCCCGAAAAAGUAUUAAAACCUCAUAUUAUAGCCUUGUUGGUGGACUCCAUUGAAAUUUAAAUCAUCAAUUAUUGUGUACAUCUGGGAGCACUUGGUUCCCAACCCCUCAAAUUUGUAUUUGAUUGAUGUUUGAUGCCUUGUUGGUAACUCUUUACUAGGGUAAGAACUGCUGGCGAUAGAUGUUGUUAUCGUGCAGUGAAGUUACCUCUCUAAAUUUUUUUAUAUCAGUAUUGACAUAUGAAAUAUAUUACUUCUUUUUAUAUAUGCCUACUUGUUUUAUGAGGUUUGAGAUAAAAUCUAAAGCAUUUCUGAAAAUGGUUUGGUAGACUACACCUCAGCCGUAGCAACAGAUCCUGAUAUAAUAAGCCCAUGAUAAGAAAUCAAAACAUAAAAGAAAACUUCCCAAAUAUAAUAAACCACUUAAAAUUAAUACUACGUAAGAAUCAACCAAGUAAGACGGCAAAAAUUAAUAUAGCCACAGUACAAGUAUUAGUACCACUAAUUGAGGUGUACUAGGAGGGGUAAUUUGAGCCAUAUUAGUGAGUCUAUUUUAUUUAUAUUUAAUUAAAUGGAUCACUCAUUGUUAGCAACAAAUUUUUGUAAGCGCUGAAAAUUAACUGCAAGCAAAAUAAAUAAAAGAAAAUGUGAUUUUUAUUGAUGAAUCGUUGUGAGUACAAUUCUGUUGUUCUCUUGAUUCUCUCUCCUAAGCUUCUCCAAGAUUCGAGGGUCUUCAGUAGCGUACUUUUCGAAUUGUUGGAUGAUGUAAACCUCCUUGAGAUGUUGUCGAUCUCCGGGAACGUCGAAAAGCGCUUCGCCGUUUCAAGUCGAUCUCCGGGAAGAACUCCGUUGAUCACUCCUUUGAAGAGCUAUGUAGUUGAUGUUGCAGCUUUCUCCAAUUGCAGAAUGCUUGUUGAAAGGUGUUCUUAAUGCCUUUAGAAUGUCAUGUCUAUUCCCCUAUUUAUAGUUGUAGGGAGUGGACAAGGUUGCUUGUGAUUGGCCAAAGGCUGUCAUUUUGACACUUGGCGGAUUGUAAUUGGUUCUUGCAUUUGACUGGGAUUACCACCUCAUUUGGACACAUGGCGUCACCUUGUUGGUCUUGGAUGCCUAGUCACUGUGACACGUGGCGUGGGUUUGAGCUUCAAGGUGAAAUGGACCUUGGACUUGAAUUUAAUAAAAAUGGACUUAUUUAUUUGUAAAGCCCAAAUUAAUCAUUCAACCUAAUAAACAUGGAUUUAAUCCAAAUUUUAUAUGAAUUAAAUCCAAUAAAAUUUGUGUGUCUAUACUCAUUUAUUUUUAAAUAGAUAAAUAUGGACUUCAACCUAUUUAAGCUCAUAUAAAUAUGAACAAAGUGGAUAAAAUUAAAUAUGAGAAUUCAUAUAGAUCCAUGGAUCACCCAAUUAAAAUAAAAAUUCCUAAUUGCAGUAAAAAGAAAAUGAAAAAAAAAAUGAGGGUGGGGCUAGGGUGGAGGUGGGGGUGCGAUUUUCUUUUAAUGAAAAAUUAUUAUUUAAAAAAAAAAAUAAUGUCAAAAAUAUCUUUAGCGACAAUUAAUUAACGGUAGUAACUUAAUUGCCACUAAUUAUGCAUUUUUAGAAGCAAUUAACACUCUUUGUAUAUGUCCAUAAAACCUUUAACGACAUCGGAUUUAAUGACAAUUAACUAAUGUCUGUAAAAACUUUAGCCUUCUUUAUUAAUGUGUAUAUUUAUCAUGCUAAAAAUUGUUUUUGUUAUAGUGGUGAGGUGGGGUGGUAGGGGUAUGAACAAAUUUGCUUUAAAGAUUUAAUAUUUUUUGUCUUUAGAAAAUUAAAAAAUCAUUUUAUCUAAAUCAUAUUUAAUCAAAUUCAUAUUUAUCCGUAUAUUAUAUGAUUGGAUGAUAGUUCAAUCCAUUUUGACUCAAUCUAUAUUCAAUUAAUCCAAUCCAAUCCACCCGUUUUUCACCCUAAGGUGUAAAGACAUAAUACUCUCUAUUUCUAACUUUUAAUUCAGCCCCAUUGUACUGCAGAUUCAGUUUGUAGUACAGAAAACAAGGUUUGCCCCAAAAUUUAAAGCUACUGCUUGAUAAAAGCUCAUUUAAAUUAGUACUGUUCUGUAACGAUUACAACUCGUAGCAUUAUGGGUAAAAAUUUAUCCGCACCAGAUGUUUAUAUCAGAUCAGAUUAUACUGCCUCUCCCAAAUGCAUAUCGCCACACUUAUGUAUGGGCACCAGACAGUCCACAACGACAAUGGAUAUGCUUUCUAGUUUCUAGUAUCCUCUCUCAAACAUGCAUGUAGCACUCCGAUCCAUAGGCGGAGAAAAAAGGGGCAAAAGAGUUCAUCUAAUAAAUCUUUUUCGCUCAAAAAAUUACAUUAUAUAUAUCAUGUUUAAAUUAUUUAUUAGGUAGAUGUUGAACUCAAUUCAACCUGAUUCUACUUAAAGAAAGGAGGGGCAUAAGUUCUUUUGUUUGUUGUAUUUAUUUCUUUAUAUUUUGAAUUUACUUAAUAAAAAAAUAUUACACUACUGCAUAGUACACUUGAGAACACCCAUAAAAUAUAGUUUUAUGAAGUUAAAAAGAUCCAGAGGAAGAUGUUGUGAGGUCCAGCCUUAUAUCCCAUCUUUUAAGGAAAAAAAUCUUUCUUUGAAAAUAUUUGCAGCAAAUUUGACAAACUUUUGUUGAAAUUGGCUAUCGGCCAAUUAAUAUAAGGUGAAAAAAUGGGCAAACUUCAUGCCUAUAGGCUAUAAAUAGACAUCUACAUCAGUUUAAACACGCGAGGGGAAAUCAAAAGAGGAUUUCUUUAUUUUGAAAAAUUUUAUAUCAUUUUUCUUUUAUUAUAUUUACGGUAAUUUUUUUUGUGUUAUUCCUCAUUUUCCCAGCAGAUGCCACGCACUGUAGGAUAAACAGAGGAACCAUGGAAUAUAAAAUUAGAAUUAAAAACAUACAAUACAAUAUAUUAGUAGGAGUAGAGGUGACAGAAUGAGUAAUUGAUAUGGGUAUUCAUUGAUAUGGGUUAAAAAUGUUUAUUCAUAAAAGAAAAAAUAAUAAUUUGGGUACCCAACUCAUUUAAAAAUAAGUAAAAAUGAAUAAUACUCAUAUUUAUCCAUUUAAAAGUGAUAGUUAAAUGGAUAAUACGGGUAAAAAAUGUUCAUUCAUAAAAGAAAGAAAAGUGAUUAGGGGUGGGUGGUAAAAAAUAUUUUUUUCUAUAAAAUUUUAACUUUUUAUAUAUUUUUUGGGAUAGAGGGGGGCUGGUAGGGAAUGGAGUGGUAAAAAAAAAAUUCAAAUGUUUCUUUUUAAAAAAAAUAAUUUUUUUUGGGAUGGGGGUAGGGGGUGUGGGGGGGANNNNNNNNNNNNNNNNNNNNNNNNNNNNNNNNNNNNNNNNNNNNNNNNNNNNNNNNNAGGGGGAUUGGGUGAAAAAAAGAACUUGUUAAAAAUUAUUUUUUUGUAAAAAAACAAACUAUUUUUUUUCCGAUUUUUUUACAUUUUUUUGGGAUAGGGGGUGGAGGAUGGUAGGGAGGGUGGAGUGAUAAAAUAAAAUUUAAAAAGAUUUUGUUUUUAAAGCUUUUAACAAGAUCUCUACUAUAAUAUGUAUAUCCUACCCAUAUUAUUCAUUGAAUAACUCGUUUUUACCCAUUUAAAAUAUAAAUAAAGUCAAUCCAAGUUAUUUUUAAUCGACUUAUAUUUGACUUGAUUCGUUCGUUUGUCACUUCUAAGUAAGAGUAAUAUAGUCAGGUAAGGAUGACGGAAAAAAAAAAAAUAAUCAAGGAUGACGGCAUGCAUUCAGUAACAGGAAUUUGGAAAACGUAGACGUCCCUCCAUCCAUCCAUCCAUCCCAUAUAAGUUAUUUAUCUUACUAAAUUAAGAAAAUAUUAAAAAAAUAAAUUCUAUAUUAUUCUUGCAAUUAAUUUUUUUUUAAAGUAUUCACAUUUAUUUGUAAAAUUUCCUAAAAAAUUAUUAAGGAGUGAAUUAAUAAAAUUAUCUUUUCAUCUAUAAUUUUUUAAUAUACUUGCAAAAAAAAAUCAACUUAAUAAAUUUAAUUUAAAGUAGAAGAAUAGGCAUGUUAUUUGUGGGCGGAGCCAUUUUUUAUAAAGAGUGGUUUGAUGCAUAUUUUUUAUGGAAAAUUCAUAUGGUAUACAUGAAGUUGAAAACUAGACAGUCUUCGCUAAAUAUGACUCAGAAGAAAUUACACAUUCUUUCCUAAAUUUUUAGCUCCGCCACAAAUGUUGUUCACAAGAAUUUAGAUACACGGUAAAUUAAAGUUUCAUGCUGCAAACAUAUAUAAAUAAAAUCCAAAAAGAAAAAAAAAUAUGUUGUCAUAUUAUAAAGGAGUAUUAGAAUAUAAUAGGCUCAGUGGCGUAGUUGAACACUUCUAUCGAAAAAUCAUACUUAUUUAUAGCAAAUUAUAUAAAAUAUAUAGUUUAAAAUUAUUUUUCACAUAUAUAUAAAAUUCUAAACAUUCUUAAAGAGAAAAAAAUUUCACCUCUGUAAAAAAUAGAACAACUAGUGAUUAGUUAUCAGUAUAUUAUGACCCGUUUGGCAAUAUAUUUUCAAGUAAAAUUUGGAAAAAAAUUUGACAAAUAGUGUGUCCAUAAAACUUGCCAUUAUUUUGGUAAUUCCAAAUACUAGUUUUUCUAGUAUUUGGACCAAAUCUCAUUAUUUGGGCCAAAUCUCAUAUUGGAGCUUUUAAAAAUUCAAAUUCUACACGAAACUUUUAUCUUUUACAUAAAUACCCUCUACUUAUUAACACUAAAACACUCACUCCGAACUAGCACAUUGCUCCAGUGUCAUGGGCACUACUUGUUAUUUGUUGCAACGUAGAUCCAACUAACUUGUUGCGGAAGUCAUGAAUCAUGUUACGUCGACAUUUCUAUAAUUCUAUCUUGCUAAGUAAUACAAUACAAACUUAUAGUUAGAUUUGAUAGUAUCUUAAACUUAUGGAUGUAAAUCAUAUUUCUUAAAAAGUGAAAUAUGUUUCUCCAAUACUGGCUAAACACAUGGUGAAAUUUCACCCAAAUCUUCACUCAAGUAAUAAUUGUCAUACUUGAAAUCUAUGAUCAAACACUAGCAUAGUUAAGUGUGGCAACCCCCAACAUGACUACUACAAUGUAUGAGAAAAUAAAUAAAUUCAACACAUAAUAUUUCAGAUAAUCAUUCAAUUAUUCAUUCUUCUCUUAAAAAGUUAUUCAGAUUUUAAUUCUUCACACAAAAGUCAUUUUGACUAUUAAUUUUUCUCUUAGAAAUUUAUUCAACUUUGAUUUUAACUCAGUAAUCACUCAAUUAAGAGUAUUUUUCUUACAAAGUCAGUCAAACUAUUUAAUUAAUUUUCUAUUAAAAUUUAUCGACAUAAAAAAAAUUAAAUGAAAAUUUUGAAUAAAAUAAACGAAUAUCUAUUUAAAUCAUACAUUUUAAUGACUUGGUUCGCUGAAAAUAUAAUAUUAAUCUUUUUAUUCUAAUAUUAUUCUCCUCUAAAUGUAAUAUUGAUCUUUUAGAGCCUUGCUGAAGUCUUCAUCACCUUAACUCCUUAAGCAACUGUGAAGCUACUUCCUGCGAUAAUUGUAGUAAAUUACUUGUGGGAGUAUUAAGAUAUUAUUUUUUAUCAAAAUAUUAAGUAUAAAAAAAAAUUUAUCUGUAAGUUGCCAAACAUUUUUAUAAAGUUUUAAGCCAUCACUAAUAAGUUGUGUCGUGACUAAGAGUCUAUUUGGCAUUACUGCUAAAAAUAACUAAAUUUUAGAAAUAUUUUUUUUAAAUGUCAUUUUAGAAAAAGUGCUUUUGAAAAAAAAAACAAUUUUUGUUUGGCUAAUUCAUUUGAAAAAUACUUUUCAUAAGCAAAUUGUGUUUUGGCUGAUUUUUAAAAAAAAGUGUUUUUGAGAGUUAAAUUACAAAAAGGACAACUAUUAAUGUACUUUUAAUAUUAAAAUUAUUUAUAGAGAGAAACUAUUUUAAAUAUCUAUUAUAAAAAAACUAAUCACUUUUUUAUUUUUAUUACAUUAAAAUGUACAUAUUUAAAUUUUCAGUCAAUAUUAUACAUUUGUUGGGAGGCUGAAAUCUUUAAUUGUUAUUUUUUUUUCUUUUUUCUAAUCUUCCAAAAAUAUGUUGUUACCUUUUUCUAAUUCUGCAAAAUAAUAUGUAAAAUAAUAUGUAAUAUAUAAAAUAAUAAUAUAUAAACUUAAAAUAAAUUACAAAAUUAAUUAUAUAAAAAUAAAAAUAAAAUUCUUAAAACUGCUUGUGCUUCCGUCUAAAACACUUUUACUAAUUUAUUAAGCACUUGAUUUUUCAACAAAUUUUUUUUUUCUCAAAAUAAGUGUUUCUGGCCUCUCAACAGAUAACAACAAUGUCAAACAAACUCUAAAUUAAUGAAUUUUGGAUUAAAAAUCAAAGAUGAGUGAGUUUAUGAGAGAAAAGUUCAUAAUUGAAUUACUAGGUAAGAUAUCAUCUCGAAUUUCAAUCAUGAAAAAUGGCUAUGACAAAUGCUCUCACCAUUCAUUUAAUAUUAUAAAUACUCGUUACCUUCUCUUAAAUUCUAUAGUACAAAGAAACCUAACAAAGAAAAAAGAAAUGAAAGGAAAGGAAAUUUUCUCUGUUCUACGUAAGCUAAGAGUAGUAGAAAAGUCUCCAGCUGCUGACUUCUCUCCUAGUCUUUGGGGUGAUCGUUUCCAUUUAUUUUCCCUUGACAAUAAGGUAUGUAUUUUGUACAUGUAUUUCUUAUCUUGUUAAAGGAGAUUCAUUUCUGACAUUUUCUUUUUAAAUAUAUUUGCAGGUUGCUGAAAAGUAUGUUGAAGAGAUUGAAACUUUGAAGGAACAAACAAGGAGUAUAUUAAUGUCAGGAAAAACAUUGGCUGAAAAGUUGAAUCUCUUUGAUAUUGUUGAACGCCUUGGAAUUGCUUGUCACUUUGAAAAACAAAUAGACGACAACAUUGAUCCUAACUUUGAGGCUCAUGAAUACAAUGAUUUAUGCAUUUCAUCCCUUCAAUUUCGACUCCUAAGACAACAUGGCUACAAUAUUUCUCCAAGUAAUAUAUCUAUCAAGUUCUACUUCAUUAAUUUCUUGUUAUAUCUUUAGUUUUGUUUUUCCCUAAUUAAAUGUACAAGGACUAACUUGAACCAGAAAUUUUUAACAGAUUCCAAGAUGCAAAGGGAAAUUUAAACAAAUCCAUUGGUAACAACAUCAGGGGUCUAUUGAACUUAUAUGAAGCUUCACAUGUAAGGACUCAUGGAGACAACAUCUUAGAAGAGGUGCUUUCAUUUUCCACUGCUUAUCUAGAAUCUGCAGCUCCACAUUUGAAGUCACCUCUGAGUAAACAAGUGACUCAUGCCCUUGAGCAAUCUCUCCAUAAGGGCAUUCCAAGAGUCGAGACACGCUACUUCAUCUCCAUCUAUGAAGAGGAGGAAUUUAAGAAUGAUGUGCUGCUUCGAUUUGCCAAACUGGACUUCAACUUACUUCAGAUGUUGCACAAACAAGAACUAAGCGAAGUAUCAAGGUACACUAAUAAUUUACAUAAAAAAUAUAAAUUAUUUGUUGAUAGUAAUUUCUAAGAUUGGUACUUAUUCUGUAGGUGGUGGAAAGAUUUAGAUUUUGUGACAACCCUUCCAUAUGCUAGGGACAGAGCAGUCGAGUGCUACUUCUGGACAGUGGGAGUGUAUGCUGAACCUCAAUACUCUCAGGCUCGUGUCAUGCUUGCUAAGACUAUAGCAAUUAUUUCAUUAUUAGAUGACACGUUCGAUGCUUAUGGCACUGUAAAAGAACUUGAGGUCUACACUGAUGCCAUACAGAGGUAUGGACUACUUCUCAAACAUUUUAUCAUUUAAUUAGAUGAUCCCAUAAAGGUGGGCGAACUGUCCAUUUUGGUGUGUGUUUUUAGAGAGGGUCCCUUUUGGUGUUUAAGGUUCAAAAAGUGUCCGUUUUGGUGCCGGGCUCAGGAAAAGACCAUAUCAAACAACAUAUUUAUGUAAAAUUGUAUAUAUUCCCCCUCCUCCCCCCCCCCCCCCCCUACCAAUUUGUAAUUGGAGACAAGCCUUGACGUCAAACACUAGAUGUUUCUCCUUCUUCCUAUGAUGUAUGUUAUGUUAAAUUGAACUUGUCAAAUUCAUUUGCUUUUUCAUUUAUUAGGUGGGAUAUUAGCCAAAUUGAUCGGCUCCCAGAGUACAUGAAAAUCAGCUACAAAGCACUUUUAGAUCUCUAUAACGAUUAUGAAACAGAGUUGUCAAAGGAUGGCAGAUCUGAUGUUGUUUAAUAUGCAAAAGAAAGGGUAUGAAUCGUGAAUUAUACUGGUUAACUCAAUAUUAAUCAGUUUUUUUUUCUCCUCAUUUUUGCUUAUAAUGAAAGUUAUUGUUUUGAUAUGUAGUGAUGGUUGAAUGUCUUUGCUUGUUGUUUGACAGAUGAAAGAAACAGUGAGAAACUACUUUGUGGAAGCCAAAUGGUUAAUUGAUGGAUAUAUGCCACCUUUUUCCGAGUAUCUUAGCCUACGUUAGUUGCUAGCACUUAUUACUUGCUUACAACUACAUCCUGCUUUGACAUGAAGUGUGCUAACAAGGAAGAUUUUGAAUGGUUGGCCAAGAACCCUAAAAUUCUUGAAGCCAAUGUGACCUUAUGUCGAGUCAUUGAUGACCUAGCCACAUAUGAGGUAUACAUUGCAUCAAAUAAAGUUACAUAUAUGCGUUUACCUAGUUGCAACCAUGAAGUGAUAAAAAUUGAUUUCAUACUUCUACGAACACAUUCUAACUUCCAAUCCAGGUUGAGAAGGAUAGAGGUCAGAUUGUAACUGGAAAUUGAGUGUUACAUGAGAGAUCAUGGUGUAUCAACAGAAGAGGCAAUGGAAAAAUUUCAAGAAAUGGCUGAGAUAGCGUGGAAGGAUCUAAAUGAAGGAAUUCUACGACCAACUCCUGUAUCUAUGAAGAUUCUCACUCGUAUUCUCAAUCUUGCUCGCAUCAUGGGUGUCAUAUACAACCAUAACCAAGAUGGAUACACUCAUCCUGAAAAAGUACUAAAACCUCACAUUAUGGCCUUGUUUGUGGACUCCAUUAAAAUUUAAAGCAUCAAUUGUUGUAUACGGGAGCACUUGGUUACUAGCCCCUCAAAUAAGUAAUUGAUCUACAUUUGAUGGUAUAUCUGUAGCUAGUUACGGUAGCUAGGUAAUCAAAUAAUAAUAAAGAAUAUUCAAAGUAUCAAUUUCUUACAGGAAAUAAAUUAUAAUCUCAAUCAUUAAACUACUUAUAAGACGAAUCGUGAUACUAUACUGAGACACUUGGUUAAUCAUGUCCUUGUGGUCUAAUAAUGCAGGUCUAUUGAUCUAGUUGUCCAUAUUGACUAGCCUCAUCAAAAAUAAAAUUAUUGAUUAUGACCAUUUCAUUAUUUUAGCAAUUACUAGUACCUUUUUUCGCAUUCCUGGACUUUAUAAUGUCAUAGACCGGAAAUAAAAGGGAAAAAAAAGAGAGAGAUUUGGGGGAGGAGAACCAGGGAAGAGGCUGUGCAUGGAAUGGGCAACUAGUAAAAUUGUACAUCUCAUGCGCUGCCUCGUCCCUGUCUAUCCUCUCCACUUUUGAAUAUCAUUCUACACCAUAAUUACCUCAAUAUAUAGGGACUCCUUAAUUUCGCCAAUAAUGCUAAACAUUCCUUCCAUCUGGAGUAUACAUGAAAAGGCCUUUUCCUGAUGAAAAUUUUCAAUGACCAAAAGGUAAUUAGUGCAAUGGCUGUUUUAUGAUGGAGUAAGGACCAGAAGAAGAAAUAGUCAUAGUACAAGUGAUAGUACUACUAAUUGAGGAGUACAUACAUAGGACCCUUUCUGUUUCUAACUUUUAAUUGAAUCCCUGCAAUGGCUGUUUUAUGAUGGAGCAAGGACCAGAAGAAGAAAUAGUCAUAGUACAAAGUGAUAGUACCACUAAUUGAGGAGUACAUACAUAGGACCCUUUCUGUUUCUAACUUUUAAUUGAAUCCCAUUAUUGUACUGCAAAUUCAGUUUGUAGUACAAUAACAAUGUUUUCCCCAAAAUUAAAAGCUACUUUUAGAUGCCCAUUUAAAUUGACUUAUUUUAGGUGUUUUUAAGUCAAAAUAGAUUUUAAACAGUUUUGAAGUGUUUGGAUAAAGAGCCCGUUUGGAUUGACUUAAAAAAGCAAAUUUUUAAAGUACUGGAACUUAUUUUUAAAAUAAGUAGUUAUGUGUUUGGAUAAAAGUGUUGCAGUUGAAAAAAAAGUUGUUAAUGUGUUUGGCAAAUAAGUGCUGGUAAACACUUUUUUUUUUAUCAAAAUGUCUGAAAUACCCUUAAAGCUAUUAACAUGAUAAAAAGUUGAUUGAUUUAAGGUUUUUAUACUUAAAAAAAAUUAAAACAAAAUUAAUUUAUAUUUUACAUCCAUAAGUAAUAAUAUUUUCCUAUCAUUCACAUAUUUCUUUAUCAUCCCAAAUUAUUUGUAAGAGGAAUAUAAAUUUAUUAUUUAAGUUAAUUUUAUAUGCGCAACUUAUUGUAGAUUUUAAAAAUAUAUAAUUUGAAUAAAUCAAAGGAAAGAUUUUAAGAUUUAUUUUAGUUACAUUACAUAAGUAAUAAUAAUUGUCUUAUCAUUCACACAUUUCUUUUAUUCAUACACCAAAAUUUAUUUAUAAGAGGAAUAUAAAUUUAUUAUUUAAGUUAAUUUUAUAUGUGCAACUUAUUUUAGAUAAUAAUAAUAAUAAUAAUAUAAUAUUAUUAUUAGUAGUAGUAGUAGUAAUAGAGAUGUUAGGGUUAAUUCAAUAUGGGCAAUUUGGAAAUUGUAUAAAAGAAUAAAGGGCAAAAAGGUAUAUACUUGGUCAACAUAAAAGAGCUUUUAAGUUUUUUUUUUUAAAAAGCACCCCUCACCUAGUUUUUAGCUUUUGGCUUAAAAUAAGUCAUUUUUGACUUAAAAUAAGUUACUUUGAGAAUUGCCAAACACUCUAAUAAGUCAGUUUGACCAGCUUAAAAGCCCAUCCAAACAGGCUCAAAGUUAAAAAGUGCUUAUAAGCACUUAUUUUAAAGCCAAAAUAACAAAAAUAAGCCAAAAGUCAUAAGUUAAAAAUCUUAACUUAUGGCUUUUGACUUAUAAGUCAUAAGCCAAAAGUCAAUCCAAACAGGCAAGCUCUUUUAAAUUACUAAUACUCACAUAGCUCAUACAAGUAAUAUUUUUGGAGACACCCUUCGCCUACGACCUAAGGUCGUACAUUCAAGUCACUAAGCAAGGAAAAAGAUGAGAUGCGUGUUGUGGGCACCAGACAGUCUCGCUGAUCCAACUACCACACAAUCCACUGUUAGCUACUGAUGUUAACAUCAUCAUAUCAUGCAACAACCAGCUAUGUUGCCUGUAUUUGGGAAAUUACAAAUGAUAAAUUUUAAAUAAUACUCCCUCCGUCCACUUUUAUCUGUUGUUUAUUUCUAAAAUUGAUUUUCAUUUUUACGAUUAUAUUUUUUCAUGUUUUAUCUUCAGCAUUAAAUAUUUUUUCUCCAAAUCAUUUUCCAAGACUUAAUACUAAACAUAAUUUAGUAUGAAUAGUUUGGUAAAAUAUUUAUAUCAAUAAUUAUUUUACUAAUGGGUAUGUCAAAUCAAAUGGUGACAAGUAAAAGUAAAUAGAGGGAGUAUAUUUGGAUUAUUGAAUUUUCUUUGUGCUAUAAAAUAAAAAUCAAAACAUGAAAGAAAAAAAAUGACAACUCAUAAGUUAAGGUUAGAAAAUACUGGGAAUUAAAUGAUAUUGUAGUGACAUAUAAAUUAAAUGAUUUUUAAAAAAAUAGUAUUUUAAUUUAAAGAAAAAUGUAUGUAGUAAUAUUAGUAUAUAUCUCCUAAAACUAAUUAUUAUGUAUGAAAAAUAAAAAUAAAUUGAUACAUAUAUUAAAUUGCAUCAUUAUCUACCCAAAUGUAGUUAGAAGUCGUAGAAUCUUGCUUCGACUUAAACUCAUAAAUAUUUAAAUAGUAGGAGAAAAAAAAAGAGGGAGAUGAUAAGUACUUGAAACGGAAGAUGGUAGAAAAGAAGUCUCGAGAAAUUGUGUAUAUUUCAACCAAAUAAAAUAGGAGUAGUAGAAAAGACUUAUUUAUAUUGAGAAUUUAAGAGUAGUAGAAAAUACUUAAUUUAAUUAUUAUGAAAUGUUAUGAAUAGUAGAAAAUACUUAAUUUAAUUAUUUAUGAAAUGUUUUUAUUCUUUUAAAUAAAAUAUUAUAAUACAACUCUACCAUUUAGAGCUUUCCACUUUUAAUAUAAAAUAUAAUGUAAUAAAAUGAAUUCAAUUUUUAAGAUUUUCACUAUUAAAAUUGUGAAAAAUUAAAGUUGAUUUUUUAGAAGUACAAAAAAUAUCAUAGAUAUUUAGUAGAACUUUCUAGAAUUUGGUAGAGUAAAUAUCUUUGAUAUUUAUACUUAAGAAAAAUAUAAAUAUUCUAGAUAAUUAGAUAUUUAUAGUAAAAUAUAGUAAUAUCUAGAUUCUUGUUACAUAGUUAGAAGACAAGGAUAUCUAGAUAUCUCUUGUAGAUGUAUCUAGAAUAAUUUCUAGAAGCAUCCGUAUACAAGUAUAAAUAGGGGUGACAUUAGGCAUUUGUAAUAAACCCAAGAAAACCCAAAAACAAAUCUAAUUCAAGAGUCUUCUUACAUAAACAAGUUCUCCUUUCUAGCUUCUUCUUCUUUAGUUGAAUCUUCCGAUCUUAGUUAACGAUCUUGGGCUAGCAAAAUGUUUCGCAAUUAUACAUUUCUUCUGCUAUUCUCUACAAAAAUAAUUAUACUACAUUAAAUUAUGAGUUUGGAUAUAAUAGGUAAUAAAUUUUAAUAUGUGAUAUAUAUAUAUACACACUCUAUACUGAAAGUUACAUCCGCUUCUGCGUGUAAGCCAAAUAAUUAAUGUGAAUCGGAGCAUCCGUAUUUUAGAUUUUUGUUAGUAACAAGAAUAUUACCGUUCUUGCAAUAGUCAGGUAAGAAAUUAAAUCAAGAUAAGCUUUGAUAAUAUUUACUUUCAGCGUGUGCUUUCUCAAACAUCUCCACAGUACCAAGGUCCAAGGACAGAGAUAGGAGCUCAAGGGUGUUAAUCUUAAAUUAAUAUUAAAAAUUACAGUGUAUAUACAUAAUACAAGGUUAUAUUCUGAAUCUCCUUAAUGAAAAUUUUAACUCCUUUACAAUAUACUACAUUCUAAAAAAGAUGGUUAUUUGGGUACACGGAUAAGGCGGGAUAUUUAAGUUUGGGAUUAGAUUGAUACUUUAUUCCUUACCACAUCCAACUUGGAAUUUUUCUAUGGAUAAACUAGUCCAUGAAUUAUAAUUGCGAGAUAAUUUUGUCCGCGUACAAAACGAAUAGCAAAUUCAUCAAAGUAGACCUAGCUACUCCACUGCAUAGCUACGUAAAGAACACAAACAUGAAGUAAAAAUAUCCGGAGGAAGACGAAAUGCACUGAAGGAAAAACAAAUGGCACAUCACACAAGGAAUAUAAAAUUAGUAGAAAAAGAUAUAUUAUCAUCAUAUCAUGAUAUCAUCAUCAUCAUAUAUAUAUAGAUAUAUAUAUUAUAAGUGGAAAGUUCCAAAGUGAAAAGUUAAAUUACCAUUUUGCUCCUUUUCUAAAUUAAAAUUUGAUUAAAUAUAAAUAUUUUAAUUACAUAAUGAUAGAAUUUGAAGUCCUUAAGCCCUUUAAUAAUUAAAUUAUCAUUUUCUUGAUAAAUAACUAAAUGAGUACAUUGAUAUUGCUUUUAAUAGUAAUUAUAAAUCUCAUAAUGGAAGAAGUUGAAAAGUUAUGAUAUGGAAAGUCAUUCAUCACUUUAAUGUAGAAAUCAAUUUCAGAAUUAAAAUUUGAAUUUAAAGGGUCAUUUCUUAAUGCUAUAUACGAACCAACUUACAAAGAUGAAAGCUCACAAUAGAAAAUUGAAUUAAGUUGUAUAAUUCGCUAUACAUAUGCAAAAAAAAACAGUUGUAUAAUCUGCUUUGGUAUACAUAUACAAAAAGAUCAAUUGUAUAAAGUGAGAGAGGCGAGUGAGAGAGCGAGAUCUGGGAGAGUGGUGAGCGAGAUCUGGGAGAGGGGAGAGAGGGGAACGAAAAUAUAUGUAUAUAUACAAUUUUCUCUCGCUUUAUACAAACACAAACGCAUUUUAUACAAUUUGCGUUUUUUGUAUAAAGUGAGAGAGGCGAGUGAGAGAGCGAGAUCUGGGAGAGUGGUGAGCGAGAUCUGGGAGAGGGGAGAGAGGGGAACGAAAAUAUAUGUAUAUAUACAAUUUUCUCUCGCUUUAUACAAACACAAACGCACUUUAUACACUUGCAUUUGUAUAAAAAACGAGAGAGGCGAGCGAGAGAACGAGGGUGGCGAGCGAGAUUCACCAGGAGAGAGGUGAAAUAGUAACAGUUUGCUAUGAGGUACAAUUAAAUCAAACUAUAUUUAUAGCAUUUAAUUUGAAUUAAUAGUUUGCUAUUAUAUACAAUUUUCCCUAAAUUUAAUACACGUGUAGUAUUAAACAGUGAACAGUCUUAUGUUGAUAUGUUGUCUCUAACAAUAACAAAGUUUUCUUUUCAGAGCAUGAGGACUUUCUUUGCAAUAUCCUCAACUUUUGUUCUUGCUCUCUUUCUCCAUUAUAGAAUUUUUCUUUCAUGAAACAUUCAUGGGUGUUGAACUUGAAGUAUAGAUAUCAAUUUAAGGUAUAUGUAGAAACUUUCUUAUUGUGCAUUUAAAUGAGAACCAUUAAUCAUUUUUGUUAUUCAUUUUUGCACAUACUAAUAUAUCAUAUGUUUAGACCUAAUAACAUAAAAAUGUAACUCAUUAUUUUAGUUACCAAACUAAAUUUUGCAGGUUCAUCAAAUGUCUAAUCAUUUGACAUACAAUAAAGAAGUUAUUUGAAUACAUUGAUUGUUUAUCGAUUUUAGAUUAUAUUUUUUGUUUGAAUAGCUUGUGAUACUGAUUAAAAUGUGAUUUUGACAAUAAUUCAUACCUUUCACAGGACUCACAUGCAAAACACGUGUCCAGGACUAGUAUUAUUAAAAGUGAAAAGCUUCAAAAUGAAAAGUUGAAUUACUAUUUUACCCCUAGACUUAAUUAAAAUAUUAAAAAAUAUUUAAAAAAAUUAAAUUAAUUUAAUUAUUCUUUUAAAACCCAAACAUGAUGAAUUUGAGUAAAUUAAAUCCAAUAUAGCCCAGGUUCAUUUAACUAAUAGUUCAUUUACUUUUAAUAUGACAACGUUUUAGGCUUUUAACAUUCUCUUUGAAUGUAGGUAUAAUGCAUUAAGUUUGGAAAUUAAAUCUUUAUUUAAAAAAGAAAAAAACAUCUCAUAACAAUUGGUCUUUUCUACUACUUCAAACAUCUUAUAAUAAAGUGAGUCUCUUCUACUUCUCCUAACAUCUCAUAAAUAAAUUGAGUCUUUUCUACUAUUCCUAACAUCUCAUUAUAAAUAAGUCUUUUUUACUAUUUCAUUUGGUUAAAAUAUUCACAAUUUCUUGCGCCUUUUCCUCCACCAUCUUUAGUUUUAGGUACUUAUCAUCCCCAUCCCCUACCCCCUUCCCCAUCUUUUUUUUUUUGCUUACUUUCUUAAUAUUCAUAUGUUUGAAUCGAAACAAAGUUUUAUGACUUCUAACCACGUUUGGAUUGAUCAUGAUGCGAUUCAAUAUAUGCAUCAAUUUAGUUUUUAUUUUUCAUGCAUAAUAGUUAAUUUUACAACAUAAAUAUUUUUUAUUACAAUUGUAUUUAUCUUUAAAUUAAAGUACUAUAUAUAUCACUAAAGUAACAUCAAAAUUGCAAGAACUUCUAAUCUCAAUUUAUGAGUUUGUUAUUUAUUUUUUAUUGUAUUGCUUUGAUUUUUAUUUUAUAGCACAUAAAAAGUCUAAUAAUAUAUAUGUCAUUUAAAAUUUAUCAUUUGUAAUAUAAAAUUUAUUUUAAAUAUUUUAGGAUAAAAUAUACAAUGCAUGUUCCCAGAGACUAAUAUUAUAAAUAGUAAUAGUUAUCUUAGUUAGCAAAUAUAUUAGUACUAUUACAUAUAGUCAAGUAAGGAUCAUGAGGGAAAAAAUAGUCAGGGAUGACAACAUUAAGCAGACGAUGUUUCCGGUAACUUAGAGCCUGUUUGGCAUUGUUGUUAGGAGGUCAAAGUGUUUUUUUAUGAAAAAAAUAUAGUGUUUGGAAAAUUCUUAAAAUUGUUUUUAAAUGAAAGCAGAAGCGGAAACUGUUUUUCUGUUGUUAGAAGAAACUAAAAAUAUCUGCUUUUAAAAAAAAGCAAAAGCAGAAAAUUAUUUUCUUGAAGACUAAGAGAUAUCCCUCACAAGUCUCGUAUAUACAUAUUUACCAAUAUAUCCUUAUUAAUUAAUUAGCAUAUCUCAUAAGUUCGGUUAAGUUUCAAUCAAGAAUUUUUAUUUAUUUAUUUAAUAACUUUUUAUUUUUUAUUUUAUGUUUAUAUAUUAUUAUUAUUUAUUAUUUUAUGUUUUAUUUUACAGAAUCAUAAAUAAAUGUAACAACAACAUUUUGUAGAAUUAAAAAUAUGAAGGACUUUAUUUAAUUUUGUGGUGAAUUUUUGUAUUUAGUAGUUUAAUUUGUGGAAUGAUUUUUAAAUUUAUUUUUCUUGAUAUUUUGAAUUAUAUUUAAGCCAUCAUGUUGAUAUUAUAUUAAUAUUUUAUUUAUUUAUUUAUGUAUAAUAUUGAUUGAAAAUUUGAAUAUAAAAUAAUCUUAAUAUUAAAAAUACAUUCAUACUUGCCUUUUUUCGUAAUUUGACUCUCAAAACCACUUUUUAAAAAAGAUUAAUCAAACACGAUAUUCGUAAGAAGUUUCUAUAUACUUUCUUGUACAGUAGCUUUGUAGUCCCCAAGUUGAAGAAAUACAAAAUUCAGAAAAUUUCUCACGAUCCUUUCUAGUAUAUUUCUUUAUAUUCUUUCAGAAGAAAGGGCAUGCUGUUUACAAGAAGGUAGAUAAAAGUAGGCUGCAAGUAUAUACAAGUCUAACCAAAAAAAGUCAUGUUGCCAUAUUAUAUAUGAUACUUAUAUCUUUAGACCAGUACUGACUAUAUAGGAGGAGUAUUGUCAAGUGUGGCAACCGCCAACCGGACUACUACAGUAGAGUAUUAUAAAGAAUUUUAAUCGUGAAAGAUGGCUGUGGCAAAGGUUCUCACUUCUCACCAUUCAUUCUUUAUAAAUACUGUUAUAAUUCCAUCAUCACUUGUUCAAUUCUCUUCUACAAAGAUACAUAACAAACAAAAGAAAGAAAGAAAAUUCUCUCUGUUUUUUCCACAAGCAAAGAGUACACACACUAGAAAUGACCCCAGCUGCUGUAGUAAUGAGUAACUACGGAGAGGAGGAGAUUGUUCGCCCCAUAGCUGACUUCUCUCCAAGUCUUUGGGGUGAUCGUUUUCAUUCAUUCUCCCUCGACAAUCAGGUAUCUAUCUAUCUAUUCUGUACAUGUCUUUCUUAUUUUCUUGUCCUGUUGGACAUUCAUUUUAAUUUGAUCUUUUUAAAUAUAUUUGCAGAUUGCUGGAAAAUAUGCUCAAGAGAUCGAAACUUUGAAGGAACAAUCAAGAAUUAUAUUAUCUGAAUCUUCUCGAAGAACAUUGGCUGAGAAAUUGGAUCUGAUAGACAUUGUUGAGCGCCUUGGCAUUGCUUAUCAUUUUGAAAAACAAAUAGAUGAUAUGUUGGAUCAAUUUUACAAAGCAGAUCCUAACUUUAAGGCUCACGAGUACAAUGAUUUACAAACUUUAUCCGUUCAAUUUCGACUAUUGAGACAACAUGGUUACAAUAUCUCCCCAAGUAGGUCUAUUCUACACAUGUUUUUCGUUUAUUGUUGUAUUUAUGUUUCUUGCUUACACCAAGGAAUUCUUUUUAUUGUUUUUUUCACUUUUUCUUACUAAAAGCUAAUCUUUUAUUUUUGUUCAUGAUCCAGAACUUUUUAUUAGAUUCCAAGAUGCAAAAGGCAAAUUUAAAGAAUCUCUUUGUAACGACAUCAAGGGUCUUUUGAACUUAUACGAAGCCUCACAUGUAAGGACUCAUGGAGAAGAUAUUUUGGAAGAGGCACUUGCUUUCUCUACUGCUCAUCUUGAAUCUGCAGCUCCACAUUUGAAGUCACCUCUGAGUAAGCAAGUGACACAUGCCCUUGAGCAAUCUCUCCAUAAGAGCAUUCCAAGAGUUGAGACGCGUUACUUCAUCUCUAUCUACGAAGAGGAGGAACAGAAGAAUGAUGUGUUGUUUCGAUUUGCAAAACUGGACUUCAACUUACUUCAGAUGUUGCACAAACAAGAACUCAGUGAAGUAUCAAGGUAUGCUAGUAAUUUAUAUGAAAAAUAAUACUGCUAUUAUUUGUUUAUAGUGACUCUCAAAAUCUGAUAUAUAUGUUGUUACUUACUUUGUAGGUGGUGGAAAGAUUUGGAUUUUGUGACAACCCUUCCAUAUGCUAGGGAUAGAGCAGUCGAAUGUUACUUUUGGACGAUGGGGGUGUAUGCUGAACCUCAAUACUCUCAGGCUCGUGUCAUGCUUGCUAAGACUAUAGCAAUGAUUUCUAUAGUAGAUGACACAUUCGAUGCUUAUGGCAUUGUAAAAGAACUUGAGAUCUACACCGAUGCCAUACAGAGGUAUGGACUACUUCUCAAACCAUUUUAUCAUUUAAUUGGAAGAUCCCAUAAAGGCGGGAAAAGACCAUAUCAAACAACAUAUUUGUGUUCAAUUUUAAUUUUUUGCCUACAUCUGAGACAAGCCAGUUAAUUCAAUAUUAAUCAGUUUAACCAAUUGUGAAGCUUUUUCUCCCAAUUUUUGUUUGUAAUGAAAUUUAUUCUUUGAAGAAGUACGGACGUUUGAAUUUCUUUUGGUUGUUAUCGACAGAUGAAAGAAAUCGUGAGAAACUAUUUUGUGGAAGCAAAAUGGUUCAUUGAAGGAUAUAUGCCGCCAGUCUCUGAGUAUCUUAGCAAUGCAUUAGCUACCAGCACUUAUUACUUGCUUACGACUACAUCUUAUUUGGGCAUGAAGUCUGCUAACAAGGAAGAUUUUGAAUGGUUGGCCAAGAAUCCUAAAAUUCUUGAGGCUAAUGUGACGUUAUGCCGAGUCAUUGAUGACAUAGCCACCUAUGAGGUUGAGAAGGGUAGAGGUCAGAUUGCAACUGGAAUUGAAUGUUACAUGAGAGAUUAUGGUGUAUCCACAGAAGAGGCCAUGGAAAAAUUCCAAGAAAUGGCUGAGACAGCAUGGAAGGAUGUAAAUGAAGGAAUCCUUCGACCAACUCCCGUCUCUACAGAGAUUCUCACUCGCAUUCUCAAUCUUGCUCGCAUUAUCGAUGUCACUUAUAAGCACAAUCAAGAUGGAUACACUCAUCCGGAAAAAGUACUAAAACCUCAUAUUAUUGCGUUGUUGGUGGACUCUAUUGAAAUUUAAAUCAUCGAUUGUUUUGUACAUCUGGGAGCACUUGCUUCCCAUCCCCUAAAAUUAUAAGUAUUUGAUUGAUGCCUUGUUGGUAUCUAUGCUGCUAGCUAAGAUAGGAGUUGCUGGAGAUGCAUGUUAUAGUGCAGUGCAGUUAAUUCCUUAAUUUUUUUUGUAUCAUUAUUGACAUUUUAAAUAUAUAUAUAUAUCACUGCUUUUUAUAGCUACUCUUUUUAGCUAGAGAUUUCAGAUUAAAUCGGUGUCACUUCAGCAGUUGCAACAGAUCCUGAUUAACCGUAAGUAAUGGUGAGUUAAUGUCAAAAUAAGCCCAUGAUAACACAUCAAAAUAUAAAGAGAAGCAAACUCCCAAAUAUAAUGUAAACCUCUUAAAAAUAGUACAAAGUAUCAAUUUCAUACAGGAAGUAAAACAUUAAAAUAGCCAUUAUCUCAAACACAAUUCUACUUAUAAGGCAAUUUGUGAUAAUAUUCCUGCCAUCUUUGAGAAAAAAAAUGAAAAGUUCUUUUCUUGAAAAUUUCUAAUGGCUGCUUUAUGAUGGAGUAAGGACUAGAGAGUAGAAGAAAAGAAGGCAAAAUAUAGUCUUAGUACAUCACUAAUAUAAACAAUGUAGAAGUAGUAUGAGUGGUUGCUUCCUCUAAGAUGUUUUCACCUUAAGUACUCACAUGUACUGAAAGAUUCGUGUAAGCCCAAAUUAAAGCCGAUUGAAGACAUCACUAUUGAAACUCUUUCUUAAUUUUUUACCAUUGCCUUUUCUCAAAAUAUAUGGUUGGGAAUCAACGAGAAGAUAACCCUUACUUGAGCGAAUAACGACCGUAACCUAGGGCCGGCUGCUCUCUCUUCUCUACUGUGAACUAUGUCGCCUUGAAGAAAAUCCAUGAUAGCCGCAUCCUCUCCCCAGCAUAUGGCUGUGGGAGAGCCUAACACCAGUUCUAAUCCAGAAGCAACUUAUGCCGCACGUCUAAAUUCAGUCCAAACUGGACAAAACUUGAAAACAACAAAGCUGAAAUCUAUAGACAUCAUUCAUGGAGAACCUACAAUUACAUUUACAGUGGAGGAGAUAAAUAAAUACUCUAUGGAAGAAGGUCUACAUCAAGCUCUAGUUUUCAAGUUUUCACAGGAUCCAAUCAAUAUGCAAGAGGUACGAAAGUUGUUGCCUAUACAACUAGGAACUCAAGGUCGUUGCCUUGUCGGAUGGCUUGCGCGUCGACAUAUUUUGGUGAGAUUCGAUAGAUAUGAUGAUUAUGUAUUAGCUGCAGCUAAAACUGUUCAGUACCUUUUGUACAAUGGUUUACAAAAGCAAUUUAGAGUAUUUCCAUGGACAAUUGGCUUCAAUCCGAAAGAAGAGACAUCAAGAGCUUUUGUUUGGAUAUCUUUUCCUAAUUUUCCGCCAGAGCUUUUUGCAAAACAAUCAUUACUGUCAAUUGCUUCGGAUGCUGGUAAGCCAAUAGCGAUUGAUAAAGCCACUCAAGAUAAGUCGAGACCUAGCACGGCUAGAGUUAAAGUCGAACUUAAUUUGCUAGCAAAUUUGCCACAUCGAAUGAGAAUUCAAUAUGUCGACCAGAAAACAGGAAAAAGUGUGGAGCAAUUUCAGAAGCUUGUGUAUGAUAAUCUGCCAUUUUAUUGCAACUUUUGUAAGCACCAAGGCCACAACGAAAGUGAAUGUCGACUAUUAUUGGGAAAUAAUGCAGCAAGAAACCAAGAAGAAGCAUCGCAAGUAGGCUCUGAGAUAGAAAAAUAUCAAGAUGAUGCUCGAGAAAUAUUAGAUGAAAAGAGGGCUGAAAAUAAAUCCCUUGUGGUUGAUAAAAGUGGCGUCCACGAUCAGGUAGUUGUGGCACGAGAUUUGGAGUGCCAAAAUAAAGAAAAUUUUGGGCAACUCUUAGGCAAAGCAGUUGCGCACGAAUCAGCUUCAGGGGAUCAAAGUUUAACCACUAGAAAUACUUUGGUCCUAGAGUUGCAACUUGAUUUUGGGCAGCAAUCAAAUAGCAACACUAUUGAAAACAAAAGUGUUACUGGUGCGAGACUUGGCGUUAGAAAUACCAGAGAAAUAAGCAUUAAUAACGAAGGUGGAAAAAUUGGUUUUUUGCAGAUUGAUUCUAAGAGUGUUGAUAAUAUUCAUUCAUCAGGGAAUAAAGUUGGAUCUAUUGAAACAUUGGAGAAAAAAUUGAAUGAAAAUCAACUUUCUUUGACUACAAAUCCUACUUUAGUUCACAUUGAUGAUGAGGGACAAAACAAUCCAGCUACAAUCGUGGCGUCGACAAUAGAUGAUAGGAAUCAACUAAAUGGAACCAGAGGUGAUGUGGUGCUUAUUGGAAAAUCAGGACAUCCAUUGGCAACUAACACAACCGUUGAUUUGGCAUUAGAUCCCGUGAAUGCAAAGGUAGUAGUAGAUGGACCGCAACAUGAUGCUCGGGGUGUUUGAAACUAUUGAAUGCUUGGUUGACAACAUGACGCAGCAGGUCGACAAUGCCAAUAAAAAUUUGAAAGUGAUGUCGAAACUAAUUCAAUUUCAUUGAUGAAUGCCAAGAGCACAGGUGGGGGAGUGGAACUGGUACUUGAAUCUAAUUGGGUUGUGGUGACGAAGAAAAAAUCUCCAAGUAUUGGAAUUGGUUUGCCUAUUAGUAACACAGUGCAACAAGUUGUAGAUAGUCAAACUACGAAUUCAGGUGCUCAAGAAAUUGUUCCACAAGAGGUCAUGUGUUUUAACACUUUUGAUGCUCUUACGAAUAAUUUUGUGCAUGAGAUCAAUUCAUCUCAAGUUAACUCUACAAAUGAAUUAGUUAUUCUAAGGAAAAACAAGGUGCGACAAGUACUUUGAGAUGGAUAGAUAUAGCAGAUGAAGAGGAGGAACAAGUUGCUUCUCCUCCUAUGCAAAAGAAAUUGAGCCCAACAGCUCCUGCUUUUGUGCCUAGUAGUGCCAAGUUAGUAACUCCCCCGCAAGGUUUGUCACCAUCAACAAAUGUUGUUGCAAUCUUAAGUGUAUCGUUUGGUGAGUUCUAAUAUUGAAAAAUUGGCUUCACUUGCACCGAUUAACAUUAACAAACAACUUCAAGUUGGUGGUAGUAGUACUUUGUCCCCAAAUAAGCUUGCUAACCUAUAUGAUGAGGACAUCUCUGAGAAGGGUGAGGAAGGUGAGGAAGAGGAAAUGCUGGAUUAUUGUUUUGCAAUUGCAACUAGGAAUGCAGAUAUUUCUCCUAGGAAACAACGCAACAACAAAACGAAGCAUGAAAGAAAGCAUAGUUGGGAUGGUAAAGUGACUGAGGAAUUUGUUCCAAGGCAACUACCAAUGUGACUCGCAAAGCAAAAUCAUAUGACAAUAUCAACAACUUCAACACGAUUCAAUAAAGCCAAGAAGUGAUGCACUAUCAACUAUUAUUGGACAUAUUUGAAGAAGAAGACAAGAGAAACAUAAUUCAGGUUCCUUUAGAAGGCCAAUCUAUCUUGGUUAGUUCAUACAUUUGUAAAAGGAAGUUUGAGGUUGACAACUCAACUUUCUCCUUGGCCUUUAUGAUUUUUCAUUACUUAAGAAUCCUCACUUGUAAUAUCAUCAUAGAGUGUAUUAUAAACUUUUUGAUGAUCAUAGAAUAUUUAGUUCUCUCUAGCUCGUAUUUUCUUCAUGAUUGUUAAUUAGUAGAAGUUAGGUACCUCAUUAGGAUUGGUAAGGUAAGGUCUAGCCUCCCUUACUUGUACUUAUUCCUAUUGAAUUUUUUUUUUAUGAUUAUUAUUAAUAAAAAGCCACUAGACCACUGUCUAGUGGUAUAAAUUUGCUUUAAAAAAGAAGAAGAGAAGAUAACACUUACUGCAAUGGAUAGGUAAAAAAAUAAAGUAAUGUUUUUUAAUAUCCUCUUUCAAACAUACACGCGGCACUCCAUUGGAGAUGUGAACCACUUAAAAAAAAUUUAUGUCUUUAUUUCUUUAUACUCUUAACUGCACAAUACACUCAAAAGAAAUUUAAAAUUCUAACUUCAUCAAAUAGACCCAGCUACUCCUGUGCAUGUUGGAAAAAAUGUGGAUUGACACAAAAAUAUAUAUGGUCAAAAUAAUUAAGAUAAAAUAAGAAAAUAAUGACGCUAAAAUUUUACGUGGAAAUCAUUAUAAAUAAGGAAAAAAUCACGGACCAAGAGAAGCAACUGAUAUCACUAUAACAAAGAAUUUUGCAUUGUGUAAUCACGAGUACAAUACUCAAAGUGACUACUGUACACUCAAAAGGAAUAAUACUCUUUUGAUUUUCCACCUUACUAAAAAUAUCGCUCACAUUCUAUUUUUCUUCACAGACUAUUUAUCGUUUGAAAACCUCACAAUUUUCUAUAUUUUUCUUUCUUUGUGAUUGUGUUUCUCGACAUUUGUUGUCAACUACAAAUUUGCCAACCAUUGACAAUUUUCUUUCACUGUGAUUGUGUUUCUUGACAUUUGUUGUCAAUUACAAAUUUGUCAACCAUUGACAAUUGCCUGCAUCAAUUGUUGAAAAUCAAUAUAGGAUCUGAACCCCACCGUGCAUAGCGACAUGAUUAUCACAAAUGAAGAAACCUUACCCCUAUACAAGAAUCAGGUUCUUGUACUUUUGUCGAGACAAGCAAAAUGCAACACAAUAAAAUAGAGAUUUUAUCAUGAAAACCUUCCUACCUCAAGGAAGGUAAAAAUCACACCACAAUCUUAUUCACGUCCUUUUCAGGAUUACAACUCAAACGGAACUAACUCUAGUAUCUUUAACUCUCCAAUGAUUAACUAUAAUCGAAGACGCAACUCUCCAAGAAGUUAAACUCGCUUCUUGUUACAAUUCUCUCACAACUCCCUCUUAACUCUAUCCCCCAAGAAGUCAAACUCACUUCUUGUUACAAUUCUCUCAAGACUCUACUCUCCAAGAAGUCAAACCCACUUCUUGUUACAAUUCUCUCAAGACUCUACUCUCCAAGAAGUCAAACCCACUUCUUGUUACAAUUCUCUCAAGACUCUACUCUCCAAGAAGUCAAACCCACUUCUUGUUACAAUUCUCUCAAGACUCUACUCUCCAAGAAGUCAAACCCACUUCUUGUUACAAUUCUCUCAAGACUCUACUCUCCAAGAAGUCAAACCCACUUCUUGUUACAAUUCUCUCAAGACUCUACUCUCCAAGAAGUCAAACCCACUUCUUGUUACAAUUCUCUCAAGACUCUACUCUCCAAGAAGUCAAACCCACUUCUUGUUACAAUUCUCUCAAGACUCUACUCUCCAAGAAGUCAAACCCACUUCUUGUUACAAUUCUCUCAAGACUCUACUCUCCAAGAAGUCAAACCCACUUCUUGUUACAAUUCUCUCAAGACUCUACUCUCCAAGAAGUCAAACCCACUUCUUGUUACAAUUCUCUCAAGACUCUACUCUCCAAGAAGUCAAACCCACAUCUUGUUACACAAUCUAGGAAUUAUUACAACUCAAUAAUAAACCUAGAACAAAUCAAUAAAGACUAAUAACUCUAGACUUUAAUUGAUCAGACUUCAACAAUCAAUAGUUCAGACUUGAACACAACUAGUGAACUUGGUCCUCGUAUUAUUGUGACGAAGCGUGAACCUGGUCCUCGUGUUGCUGUGACGAAGCCCUGCAGUUUUGCUCCAAUGACUAUUGCUCUCAAGAUGAUGAAUUUUGUGAAUAUGCAAUAGACAUCGUUCUGGCUUUGCUGGAAAAUUCUCUCAAUUUGUGUUUAUGCAAAGACGACUCUUUUCCCUCUUUGGCUUGAACCUUUUAUAGAGUUUGAUUUGCGUUCAUCAACUUCUACAAGGAAAGGAAUAACAAAUCAUUUUCCUUCUUGAACUUGUCUAUAUUUACUUCUUAAUUGCUACUUCUUUAUUUUUUUCCUUCUUUAUUUUUUCCUUAUUUGUUUCUUUCCUUCUUUGCUCCUGUGUUUCAGGUCUUUCUUUAUUUCCUUGUUCGCUCCUUUAUUUCUGUACUUUUUCUUUUUUGCCGCAAUCUCUCAUAUUUGUACAGAUUGACUGUAAUCACAUGUGAGAAUCUGAUUCACCUGAUAGAGUACACAUAAGACAACAAGUAGUGAACCAUGUUCACUUUAUCAAUCAUCAAACCUAAUUUAUAUGUUCUCCUACUUGCCAACAACAAAUAAAACAUAAUUUCUUGUAGUUAAAAAAUCCAAAGGAUCGAAGACGCCACGCACUGAAGGAAAAUCAGAGGACUCAAGGAAUAUAAAAUUAGAAGAAAAUGCAUACAACACAUAAUAUAGUCAAGUAAGGAUGAUGGGAAAAAAAUUAGUCAAGGAUGUCAGCUUGCAUUCAGUAACAGGAAUUUGGAAAACGUGAAAGACGCCCUUAUUCAUUAGUUGAUUUAAUUUAAAGUAGAAAAAAAAGGCAUGCUGUUCACAAGAAUUAAGAUGAGAUAGUGAUAAUAUAAAUCCAAAAAAAAAACAUUUUGCCAUAUCAUAAUACUAUAUCUAUACAUGGGCGGAGCUACAGUCAAAUAAGGAUGAUCAGCCGAAUACCCUUUAUCGAAAAAUUAUACAGUUAUAUAGGUAAAAUAUUAUCUAAUAUCUGGAUAUAUAAUAAAUUGAACACUCUCCCAUAUCUUCUAUUCUUCUUUAGGUUUUAGCCUUAAAUUUUGAUUAACCUAAUAAUUAAUCUUAAAAUUUGAUUAACUUAAUAAUUAAGAUUUAUUUUUAUAUUUUCGAUCUAUAUUAAGUGAAUUAUUAGAUUUAAAACACUCUCAAGAAAAAUACUCAAGAAAUUGUGAAUAUUUUAGCCAAAUGAAAUAGUAAAAAAGACUUAUUUAUAAUGAAAUGUUAUGAGUAGUAGAAAAUACUCAAUUAAAAAAUAGAUAUUAGAAAUAGUAGAAAAAACUCAAUUUAUUAUGAGAUGUUAGGAGUAGUAGAAAAGACCCAAUUUAUAUAUGAGAUAUUUUUAUUUUUUUAAACAAAAUUAUUGUACUAUUUAAUUAAUUAGAUUAUGUAUAAUAUUUUGAUUUAGUGUAGGAAUAAAAUGAUAGCAUUUUAGUGCUUUCCACUUUUAGUAUAAAAUAUGAUAUGAUGAUAACAUUUAUAUAUAUAUAUAUAUAUAUUAAGAUGAGUAAUCAUAUGUACUAAAGCUUCAUGUAAGUAGAUGUGGAUCGGAGAAUUAAAUUAAUGAAUUCAAGCUUUUAAGAUUUUCAGUGUCGAAAUUAUUACACUGUUAAAUUAUUAGUUCUAAUCUAAUACCUGAUAAGAUUUUAAUAAGUUAUUAUAAUGAAAGUUACGUCACGUCCGUAUUUUAGUAUUUUUGUUAGUAACAAUAAUAUUAGUGUUCUUGCAAUAGACAGUUAAGAAAUUAAAUAAAAGAUAAGCUUUGAUAAUAUUUACUUUCAGCGUGUGCUUUCUCAAACAUGCAUGCGGCACGCCACGGUACUAAGGACAGAGAGAUAGGAGUGCAAGGGUGUUUAUCUUAAUAUUAAAAAUUACAAUGAAUAUAUAAACAUUAUAUUUUGAAUCUCACUUUAACUAAAAAAAUAUUUUAAAUCUCUUUAAUGAAAAUCUUAACUCUUUCAUAGUACACUCUAAAAAGGAUGGUUGUUGAUACGCGGGAUAAUGUGGGAUAUUUAAAUUUGGAAUUAAAUUAAUUUAUAUUGUAUUUAAUUGACAUUAUAAAUUUAUCCCUGAAUAUCAGACCUUACCCAAUGCAUAGGUAAGUAAAGAACACAAAGUAAAACAUUGUUUUAUGAAGUAAAAAAAUCCGGAGGAAGACGAAAUGCACUGUAAGGAAAAAUAAAUGACACAUCACACAAGGAAUAUAAAAUUAGUAGAAAAGGCAUACAUUAUAAAUAGUAGUAGUUGUCUUAGAUAGCAAAUAUAUUACAUAUAGUCAAGUAAGUAUCAUGAGGAAAAAAAUAGUCAAGGAUGACAGCAUUAAAAGGCAUGGUGUUUACAAGAAUUUAGAUAAAAGUAGUAACAAAUUGUAGGCUGCAAGUAUAUACAAGUUUUACCAAAAAAAGAGAAAAAAUGUGUUGCCAUAUUCUAUAUGAUAUGAUAUAUCUUUAGACUAUAUAGGAGGAGUAUUGUCAAGUGUGGCAACCGCCAACCGGACUACUAUAGUAUAGUAUUAUAAAGAAUUUUAAUCGUACGUGAAAGAUGGCUGUCUCACAAUUCAUUCGUUAUAAAUACUCAUUUCUUUCUCUUACAAUUCCAUCAUCACUUGUUCAGUUCUCUACUACAAAUACAUUAUACAAAGAAAGGAAAUUCUCUCUGUUUUUCCACAAGCAAAGAGUAUACUAUAAAUGGCCUCAGCUGCUGCAGUAAUGAAUAACUACGGAGAGGAGGACAUUGUUCGACCUGUUGCUGACUUCUCUCCAAGUCUUUGGGGUGAUCGUUUCCAUUCGUUCUCCCUCGACAAUCAGGUAUCUAUUUAUUUUGUACAAGUCUNNNNNNNNNNNNNNNNNNNNNNNNNNNNNNNNNNNNNNNNNNNNNNNNNNNNNNNNNNNNNNNNNNNNNNNNNNNNNNNNNNNNNNNNNNNNNNNNNNNNNNNNNNNNNNNNNNNNNNNNNNNNNNNNNNNNNNNNNNNNNNNNNNNNNNNNNNNNNNNNNNNNNNNNNNNNNNNNNNNNNNNNNNNNNNNNNNNNNNNNNNNNNNNNNNNNNNNNNNNNNNNNNNNNNNNNNNNNNNNNNNNNNNNNNNNNNNNNNNNNNNNNNNNNNNNNNNNNNNNNNNNNNNNNNNNNNNNNNNNNNNNNNNNNNNNNNNNNNNNNNNNNNNNNNNNNNNNNNNNNNNNNNNNNNNNNNNNNNNNNNNNNNNNNNNNNNNNNNNNNNNNNNNNNNNNNNNNNNNNNNNNNNNNNNNNNNNNNNNNNNNNNNNNNNNNNNNNNNNNNNNNNNNNNNNNNNNNNNNNNNNNNNNNNNNNNNNNNNNNNNNNNNNNNNNNNNNNNNNNNNNNNNNNNNNNNNNNNNNNNNNNNNNNNNNNNNNNNNNNNNNNNNNNNNNNNNNNNNNNNNNNNNNNNNNNNNNNNNNNNNNNNNNNNNNNNNNNNNNNNNNNNNNNNNNNNNNNNNNNNNNNNNNNNNNNNNNNNNNNNNNNNNNNNNNNNNNNNNNNNNNNNNNNNNNNNNNNNNNNNNNNNNNNNNNNNNNNNNNNNNNNNNNNNNNNNNNNNNNNNNNNNNNNNNNNNNNNNNNNNNNNNNNNNNNNNNNNNNNNNNNNNNNNNNNNNNNNNNNNNNNNNNNNNNNNNNNNNNNNNNNNNNNNNNNNNNNNNNNNNNNNNNNNNNNNNNNNNNNNNNNNNNNNNNNNNNNNNNNNNNNNNNNNNNNNNNNNNNNNNNNNNNNNNNNNNNNNNNNNNNNNNNNNNNNNNNNNNNNNNNNNNNNNNNNNNNNNNNNNNNNNNNNNNNNNNNNNNNNNNNNNNNNNNNNNNNNNNNNNNNNNNUAAGAAUGAUGUGUUGCUUCGAUUUGCAAAACUGGACUUCAACUUACUUCAGAUGUUGCACAAACAAGAACUUAGUGAAGUAUCAAGGUAUGCUAGUAAUUUACAUGAAAAAUAAUACUGCUAUUAUUUGUUUAUAGUGACUCAAAAUCUGAUAUAUAUGUUGUUACUUACUUUGUAGGUGGUGGAAAGAUUUGGAUUUUGUGACAACACUUCCAUAUGCUAGGGAUAGAGCAGUGGAAUGUUACUUUUGGACGAUGGGAGUGUAUGCUGAACCUCAAUACUCUCAGGCUCGUGUCAUGCUUGCUAAGACUAUAGCAAUGAUUUCUAUAGUAGAUGACACAUUUGAUGCUUAUGGCAUUGUAAAAGAACUUGAGAUCUACACCGAUGCCAUACAGAGGUAUGGACUACUUCUCAAACCAUUUUAUCAUUUAUUUGGAAGAUCCCAUAAAGGUGGGAAAAGAGCAUAUCAAACAACAUAUUUGUGUUCAAUUUUAAUUUUUUGCCUACAAUUUAUUAUCUGAGACAAGCCUAGGAGUCAAACACUAGAUAUUUCUGCUUCUUCGUAUGAUAUAUGUUCUGUUAAAUUGAUAUACUUAUCAAAUUCAUUUCUUUUUCAUUUAUUAGGUGGGAUAUUAACCAAAUUGAUCGGCUCCCUGAUUACAUGAAAAUCAGUUACAAAGCACUUUUAGAUCUCUACAAUGAUUAUGAAAUGGAGUUGUCCAAGGAUGGUAGAUCUGAUGUUGUUCACUACGCGAAAGAAAGAGUAUGAAUCGUGACUUUCUCCUUCGUUUUUGAUUAAAAUGAAAUUUGUUCUUCAAAUAUGGAUUGAUGGUUGAAUGUAUUGGCUUGUUGUUGACAGAUGAAAGAAAUCGUGAGAAACUAUUUUGUGGAAGCAAAAUGGUUCAUUGAAGGAUAUAUGCCGCCAGUCUCUGAGUAUCUUAGCAAUGCAUUAGCUACCAGCACUUAUUACUUGCUUACGACUACAUCUUAUUUGGGCAUGAAGUCUGCUAACAAGGAAGAUUUUGAAUGGUUGGCCAAGAAUCCUAAAAUUCUUGAGGCUAAUGUGACGUUAUGCCGAGUCAUUGAUGACAUAGCCACCUAUGAGGUUGAGAAGGGUAGAGGUCAGAUUGCAACUGGAAUUGAAUGUUACAUGAGAGAUUAUGGUGUAUCCACAGAAGAGGCCAUGGAAAAAUUCCAAGAAAUGGCUGAGACAGCAUGGAAGGAUGUAAAUGAAGGAAUCCUUCGACCAACUCCCGUCUCUACAGAGAUUCUCACUCGCAUUCUCAAUCUUGCUCGCAUUAUCGAUGUCACUUAUAAGCACAAUCAAGAUGGAUACACUCAUCCGGAAAAAGUACUAAAACCUCAUAUUAUUGCGUUGUUGGUGGACUCUAUUGAAAUUUAAAUCAUCGAUUGUUUUGUACAUCUGGGAGCACUUGCUUCCCAUCCCCUAAAAUUAUAAGUAUUUGAUUGAUGCCUUGUUGGUAUCUAUGCUGCUAGCUAAGAUAGGAGUUGCUGGAGAUGCAUGUUAUAGUGCAGUGCAGUUAAUUCCUUAAUUUUUUUUGUAUCAUUAUUGACAUUUUAAAUAUAUAUAUCACUGCUUUUUAUAGCUACUCUUUUUAGCUAGAGAUUUCUGAAAGCUUCAUAGCUCAAGCUUAAACACCAUAGCUAGAAGAGAGGAAGAAGAGAGAGUUGUAUUGAUUGUAUAAUGUGACUUGAUACAAUGUAUCCGUACAUAGGGUAUAUUUAUACUACAAGUAAAUGCAGUAACUAACUCAUGCUAACAGUGCAUCUUUCUAACUAACUUUUAACUCGUUAGUUAACUAACUCAACCAUAUAGCUUGCUUAACUAUUUACACUAGUUAACACUCUUCCUCAAGCUUAUGGUUGAAAUACAUUUGCCAUUCCAAGUCUACUCAUUAACAAGUUGUGUUGUUCCUUUCCCAGCCCUUUAGUCAGCAAAUUAGCUAGUUGAUGUUUGGUGUUGAUGUGUUCUAUUUUAAGCAUUCCUUGAUAAAUUCUUUCCCUCACAAAGUGACAAUCAAUAUCUAUGUGUUUGGUUCUUUCAUGGAAUAUUGGAUUGGCAGCUAUUUGAAUAGCUGCUUUACUGUCACACAUCAUAUGUACAGGUAGAUUCAUACACUCCCAACUCCUUGUAUAGGCCCAACAACCAAGUGAUUUCUGCUGCACAAGUGGCCAUACUUCUGAACUCUGCCUCAGCUGAACCUCUUGACACUGUUUCUUGCUUCUUGGAUUUUCCAAGACACUAAAGCAUCUCCAAAUUUUACCAAAUAUCCUAUGACUGAUCUCCUGGUCUCCACACAUGCUCCCCAAUCAGAAUCACAGUAAGCAGUUAGUUGUGUAGUCUGUUUGGCUGGCAUUAAUAGUCCUGAACCAGGAACCUCUUUGAUGUAUCUCACCACUCUUAGAGCAGCCUCCAUAUGGGACUGUUUAGGUUGGUGCAUGAACUGGCUUAACACUUGUACAGUGAAGGCAAAGAUCUGGUCUUGUCAUAGUGAGGUAGAGUAGUCUUCCUACUAGUCUUUGAUACUCUGCAGGAUUUUUAAGUAGAUCAUCACAUUUAGCCCCUGUGUUAUCUGCAUGUUCAUCAUACUUAACAGAGGUGAGUUUUUGAUUCAUUUCUAGUGGUGUAUAGGCAGGUUUGGCUCCUCCUAGACCAGAUUCAGAAAUGAGCUCCAAAGCAUACUUCUUUUGUGUCAUCAGAAUACCCCUGCUGGAUCGAGAGAAAUCAAUACCUAGGAAGAAUUUGAGUUCUCCGAGAUCCUUCAUCUUGAAUGUACUUUGGAUGUCCUUCCUAGUGCUGCAUAACUGUUAAGGACUGCUACCAGUGAUUAGAAGAUCAUCCACAUAUACGAGUACUAUAACAAUGUCACCAUCAGCCUGUUUAGUAAAGAGUGAGUAGUCAAAAUGACUUUGUGUGAACCCCAUCUGCACCAAUGCCUCAGUAAGCUUUAAGUUCCAUUGUCUAGGUGCUUGUUUCAGACCAUACAAAGACUUGUGUAGUUUACAUACCUUCCUGCUCUCCCCUUUGUGGGCAAAACCACUAGGAAUUUCCAUAUAGACCUCUUCAUUUAGAUCACCAUUAAGAAAAGCAUUGUGUACAUCUAUCUGAUAAAUGUACCAACCUUUAGAAGCAGCCAAAGCAACCACAGACCUCACAGUAACCAUCUUGGCUACUGGACUGAAGGUUUCACCAUAAUCAAGACCCUCCCUCUGACUGAACCCCUUAGCAACAAGUCGUGCUUUGAAUCUUUCUAGUUCUCCUGAAGCUAAGAAUUUGAUCUUAUAAAUCCACCUGCACCCAAUAGGUAUUUUACCAGGAGGGAGGUCAACUAUACUCCAAGUAUUAUUAGUUUCUAGAGCUGCAAUCUCCAAAUCCAUAGCUUUUACCCAAGCAGGAUUUGCAGCAGCCUCUUGGAAAGAUGCAGGCUCAGAAAUAAAAGAAUAAGCAUGCAAAACAUGUCUAUAAAAUGGAGAUAAAUGAGAGUAAGUGAGAUGAGCUGCUAGUGGAUAUAGACAAGUAUUGGUUGUGGGCUUAGUUACAAAGUCCUGCAGCCAUAGAGGUGGUCUACUUGGUCUGUCUGAUCUUCUUGAAGACACAUCAGGAAUCAGAGACUGAAUAACUGGGACAGGAGAUGUUGCAGGAGGUGGUAUUGGAAUAAGUUGAGAGGAUACUUCAGGAAUGUCUAGGAGAGACUCAGAAGAAGGGACUACUGACUCAGAUGAACACACAUCAACAAAUGGUACAAUAUCAAAGAUUGGAAAUAUAGGUUCUGAGGAGGCCUGCAUGUUCUUAAAAGGAAUAAUUCUUCAUGAAACACCACAUGCCUGUUUACAAAGAAACCAUGAGCAUGAAUGUCAUAUAAGAUAUACCCUUUUUGUGUGGAUGAAUAUCCCAUGAACACUGCAGGAAUAGCCCUGGAAGAGAAUUUAUCAACUGGUUUAGGGGUAGCAGCAUAGCACAGUCACCCAAAAAUCUUCAAGUGGGAUAAGGAUGGGGAAUGGUGAUAAAGUGUUUCAUAUGGAGACUUGUAGGAGAGGACUCUAGAAGGAAGCCUAUUUAGGAUAUACACAGCAGUAGAGACACAGUGACCCAGAACUUGAGUGGUAUUGAAGCUUGAAACCUAAGUGAUCUGGCCAUGGCAAGGAUUGUUCUAUGCUUCCUUUCAGCUACACCAUUUUGUUGUGGUGUAUAAACACAAGUACUCUGAUAGGCAAUGCCAAGGUCACUUAAUAAUGUCUGAACCUCACCACUGAAGAAUUCACAGCCAUUAUCAGUCCUUAGAGUUUUCACAGUGGUGGAGAAUACAUUCUGAACCUGCCUCAGAAAGUGUUUGAGUACUAUUAUAGUGUCAGCUUUAGAUGCAAUUAAAAACAUCCAAGUAUAUCUGCUAAAAUCAUCCACAAUUGUCACAAAAAACCUCUUGCCAUUAUAUGUAGGAACUCUACAAGGUCCCCAAAGAUCACAAUGCAACAAGUCAAAUACAUGUUUUGUCAUAUGAGUGCUUGAAGGAAAAUGAAGUUUAGUAUGUCUAGCUAGAGGACAAAUAGUACAUGGAAUUUGAUCAGUACUCUUUAAAGUCUUGAGACACCCAUGCCUCUUUAUUACAUCAAUAGGUGUAUGACCAAGUCUUUUGUGCCAUAUACUACUGGACUCAGACUGAGUAACAGAAUUAACAGACUUAGGUAACUGAAUAUGUUUACUACUAUUGACCAGCUUAUUUGGAGCUUGACUUGGGCCCUCUUGUAGUAUGUAUAAGCCAUGUUCCUCCUUACCAAUCCCCUUCACCAGACCAGUGGAGAGGUACUGGAAAAGACAAAAGUCAGGGGAAAAAACAAACCAUACACUGUAACUCUCUUGUGAUCUUUGAUACUGACAACAAGUUAAACUUGAAGUCAGGGAGAAAUAACACAUUGGAGAUAGACUGAUUAGCUAACACACAAGUGCUUCCAAUGUGAGAAACUGCUGCAACUUUACCAUUAGGUAAAUGUACCUUACUGUCUCUUUAAGCAUGAACUUCCCUAGCUUUAUCUAGGAGGCCAAGGUCAGAUGUGAUAUGAUGAGAGGCUCCGGUAUCAAUUAUCCACUGUUUAUGGCAUAAUUACAUGAUAAAGUAUAGGAGCCAAACCUGCAUCAUCAGUAGUGGCAAUGUUUGCAGAAGGCUGAACUGUUGUGUUCUCAUCACCAUGUCUGGAAAGGAGUUGGAGAAUCUGUUGAUAUUGAGCAGAAGUGAAAAAAGCUCCGGUGUGUGGACCUGCUUCUGAAGUAUUUUUUCCUUUGUUGUUGCAUCCUAUGGUCUCUUGUCCAAGAUUAGGAGGAAUAUCCAUCUGAUUAGCAUACAUUCCAGUGUUCAGAGGUUUCCUCUUGGACUUGAAAUCUGCAGGAUAUCCAACUAUUUUGUAGCACUGCUCCCUAGAAUGUCCCUUGCACCCACAGUGUUCACAUUGUAGAAAAUUAUUUCUAUUCUUGUAGCUUCCUCCUGAAGAACUAGUACUGUGGAUGUAUCCUCCACCAUGAUCACCAGCUCUUGAGAAUGAACUGGUGAAGUGUACUUUUGAUGAUCCUGCUCCAUUGUUGUAAGUGUGAUUUCUCUGAGUGUACAUUGUUGUGCCUUAUAUAAUUCAUGACCCACUCGAACUAUUGCUUGCCAGACUUCUCUGACUCUCUUGAUCAAUCAGCAUUGCAUAGGCUUUGUUUAGGGAAGGAAUUGGACUCAUCAUUAAGAUCUGACUUCUAGGAGGGGAAUAUGACUCAUUUAGCCCCAUUAGAAACUGCAGAAGCCUUUGAUAGUCACAGUGUUCACCAAAAUUUUUGGACUCUGGACAUGGACAACUUGGACAUGGCAUGAUAGCAUCAUACUCAUCCCAGAGGUCUCUUAGUUUUGAAUGAUAGUCAGCAAUUGACAUUGUACCCUGAGUGAGAGAGUGAAUCUCCCUAUGUAACUGAAAUAUUCUGGAUCCAUUCACAGUGUCAAACCUUUCUCUUAGAUCUAGCCACACCUUUCUAGCAUCAGAAGCAUACACUACAGAACUAAGAAGACCAGGUCUUACUGCAUUCAUAAUCCAGCUUAAAACUACUGCAUUACACUUUUCCCACUGAUCAUGUAGCUCAGGCUCAAACAUAGACUUAGGGAAUCUUCCAUCUACAAAUCCUAGUUUACUUCGACCUACUAGACCAAUUCGAAAUGACCUACCCCACAAGCCAUAGUUCUCUGAUCUUGUUAAUUGCAGAGAGAUUAGAGAACUACCUGGAGUUUCUGUAUGUUGAAGAAACAGAGAAUGAUUGUGAUCAAUGACAGGAAAUGUAGUUGUGCUGGUUGUGCGAGAACCACUUCCAGUUCUGGUGGCUUGAAUCUCAGCUCCUUCCAUUGUACCUCCAGUCAUGAGAUCCUAAAGUUUUCUUCUUAUUCAGCUGUUUUUGGGAAGGUGAUAUCGAAGUACCUAGGUAUUCUCUAUGAUCGUGGGCUCUGAUACCAUGAAAGCUUCAUAGCUCAAGCUUAAACACCAUAGCUAGAAGAGAGGAAGAAGAGAGAGUUGUAUUGAUUGUAUAAUGUGACUUGAUACAAUGUAUCUGUACAUAGGGUAUAUUUAUACUACAAGUAAAUGCAGUAACUAACUCAUGCUAACAGUGCAUCUUUCUAACUAACUUCUAACUCAUUGGUUAACUAACUCAACCAUAUAGCUUGCUUAACUAUUUACACUAGUUAACAAUUUCAGAUAAAAUCGGUGUCACUUCAGCAGAUCCUGAUUAACCGUGAGGAAUGGUGAGUUAAUAUCAAAAUAAGCCAAUGAUAACACAUCAAAAUAUAAAAGCAAACUCACAAAUAUAAUAAACCUCUUAAAAAUAGUACGAAGUAUCAAUUUCAUACAGGAAGUAAAACAUUAAAAUCGCCAUAAUCUCAAACACAAUUCUACUUAUAAGGCAAAAUGUGAUAAUAUUCCUGCCAUCUUUGAGAAAAAAAAUGAAAAGUUCUUUUCUUGAAAAUUUCUAAUGGCUGCUUUAUGAUGGAGUAAGGACUAGAGAGUAAUAGUAGUAUGAGUGGUCAUAUUACACUGAUCUUCAGUGGGUGUUUACACCAGAUUAUAAUGCCUCUCAAACACUGCUGUCUGGCGGACAGUCCUCAACGACUCUUCGUAAGGUCUAGCUGAUCGAACUAUCAGAAAAUCCAGAGUCAGCUAAUGAUUUUAACAUCAUCAUACAUGCAACAAUAAACUGUUGCCUUUCAUGCUUAUAAUUACAUUGAAACGUAACCGUAUAUGUUAAUAAUUUCCAUAAAACAUAAUGUUUACAAUUUAAUAAGAUGAGUGGUUGCUUCCUCUCUAAGAUGUUUUCACCUUAAGUACUCACAUGUACUGAAAGAUUCGUGUAAGCCCAAAUUAAAACCGAUUGAAGACAUCACUAUUGAAACUCUUUCUUAAUUUUUUACCAUUGCCUUUUCUCAAAAUCUUAAAGUUUGAUUAACUUAAUAAUUAAGAUUUAUUUUUAUAUUUUCGAUCUCUAUUAAGUGAAUUAUUAGAUAUAAAACACUCUCAAGAAAACUACUAAAGAAAUUGUGAAUAUUUUAACCAAAUGAAAUAGUAAAAAAGACUUAUUUAUAAUGAAAUGUUAUGAGUAGUAGAAAAGACUCAAUUAAAAAAUAGAUAUUAGGAAUAGUAGAAAAGACUCAAUUUAUUAUGAGAUGUUAGGAGUAGUAGAAAAGACCCAAUUUAUAUAUGAGAUAUUUUUAUUUUUUUAAACAAAAUUAUUGUACUAUUUAAUUAAUUAGAUUAUGUAUAAUAUUUUGAUUUAGUGUAGGAAUAAAAUGAUAGCAUUUUAGUGCUUUUCACUUUUAGUAUAAAAUAUGAUAUGAUGAUUAACAUUUAUAUAUAUACUAGUAAAGAAAGCCCGGGCGCUGCUCGGGCCCAACAUUAAUAAAGUUAUAUUAUUACUCUCUCCGUCCCAUAUUAGAUGAGAAUCUUACUAAAAAUAUUAUUUUCAUAUUAUUUGAGCACUUAUUAAAUUAGGAUAAAAUUAAUUAAUUCUUUUCCAUUUUACCCCUACAAUUAAUAUGACCAUUCCUAUAUUGUAUGUGUAUUUUUUGUAACUCAUUUCAAUGUGCAUUGAUAUAAACAAAGGGCAAAAUGGUGAAGUCUUCCAAUGUAUUAAUGAUUUCUUAAUCACCGUGUAAAGUUGGAAGUGUCCAUCUAAUAUGGGACGGAGGGAGUAUAGUUUAUGUAUUGUUAUAAAAUCAGUAAAGAUUGUUAUAAUAUAUUUUGCUCAUAAGUGAGCUAUUAUAGAAACUUAUUUGUGAUUUGUCUUUUUAAUUUCAAUUUUAAAUAGCAAAUAAAUGUAGCGAUAAGAUUGAGGGUAGAAAUGAAGCAUAUCUUUCUAAAUUUAAGUAAAAAUAAACAGAGUAGAAGUAACAUUAGGGUUAUCGAUAGGACGAUUCAUUCGGUUAUUUUAAAAAAAAUUAUAUCAUUCAAUUUUUCGGCUAUUUUAUAAUGUAUAACCAAAAUUAAAAUUUUAAAAUCAUCCCAAUCCUAAUAUAUGUGACACAAGCAGUACAAAAAUUAGUCUUUUUUUUGUUGUCUUGUAGAUAUUUUAAGUUAUUAUUUAUUGUAAAUUAUAGUACUUUUUAUUAAAGUUUUUAAUAACAUAUGUUACUUUUUAUGUUUGAGAGUUAAACCAACUUUUUUUAUAUGUCUUUUAAUCUUAUAUGUGUUUUGUCCUUUUCCAUUUUCAAAAAUUAAUACUCUCUCUAUUUUAUUUUAUAUGUCAUUUCUUUUUAUAAAUAUAUUGGUUAUUCCCUCUUCUUAUUGGAACACAUGUUGACUUGUGGUGAAUACUUAUUCCCUCUUCUUAUAUAGUAAUAUAUAUUAAGAUGAGUAAUCAUAUGUACUAAAGCUUCAUGUAAGUAGAGGUGGAUCGGAGAAUUAAAUUAAUGAAUUCAAGCUUUUAAAAUUUUCAGUGUCGAAAUUAUUACACUGUUAAAUUAUUAGUUCUAAUCUAAUACCUGAUAAGAUUUUAAUAAGUUAUUAUAAUGAAAGUUACGUCCGUAUUUUAGAUUUUUGUUAGUAACAAUAAUAUUAGUGUUCUUGCAAUAGACAGUUAAGAAAUUAAAUUAAGAUAAGCUUUGAUAAUAUUUACUUUCAGCGUGUGCUUUCUCAAACAUGCAUGCGGCACUCCACAGUACCAAGGACAGAGAGAUAGGAGUGCAAGGGUGUUUAUCUUAAUAUUAAAAAUUACAAUGAAUAUAUAAACAUUAUAUUUUGAAUCUCACUUUAAUUAAAAAAAUAUUUUAAAUUUCUUUAAUGAAAAUCUUGACUCUUUUCACAGUACACUCUAAAAAGGAUGGUUGUUUGGUACGCGGGAUAAUGUGGGAUAUUUAAAUUUGGGAUUAAAUUAAUUUAUAUUGUAUUUAGUUGACGUUAUAAAUUUAUCCCUGAAUAUCAGACCCUUACCCAAUCAAACUUAUAAUUAUUUUAUGGAUAAACUAGUACAUGAAUUAUAAUUGCGAAAUAACUUGGUCCGUGUACUAAUCGAAUAGCAAGUUCAUCAAAGUAGACCCUGCUACUCCAAUGCAUAGGUAUGUAAAGAAGACAAAGUAAAACAUUGUUUUAUGAAGUAAAAAAAUCCGGAGGAAGACGAAAUGCACUGUAAGGAAAAAUAAAUGACACAUCACACAAGGAAUAUAAAAUUAGUAGAAAAGGCAUACAUUAUAAAUAGUAGUAGUUGUCUUAGAUAGCAAAUAUAUUACAUAUAGUCAAGUAAGUAUCAUGAGGAAAAAAAUAGUCAAGGAUGACAGCAUUAAAAGGCAUGGUGUUUACAAGAAUUUAAAUAAAAGUAGUAACAAAUUGUAGGCUGCAAGUUUUACCAAAAAAAGAGAAAAAAUGUGUUGCCAUAUUAGAUAUGUCUUUAGACUAGAUAGGAGGAGUAUUGUCAAGUGUGGCAACCGCUACUAUAGUAUAGUAUUAUAAAGGAUUUUAAUCGUACGUGAAAGAUGGCUGUCUCACAAUUCAUUCGUUAUAAAUACUCAUUUCUUCCUCUUACAAUUCCAUCAUCACUUGUUCAGUUCUCUACUACAAAUACAUUAUACAAAGAAAGGAAAUUCUCUCUGUUUUUCCACAAGCAAAGAGUAUACUAUAAAUGGCCUCAGCUGCUGCAGUAAUGAAUAACUACGGAGAGGAGGACAUUGUUCGACCUGUUGCUGACUUCUCUCCAAGUCUUUGGGGUGAUCGUUUCCAUUCGUUCUCCCUCGACAAUCAGGUAUCUAUUUAUUUUGUACAAGUCUUUCAUUUUCUUUAUCUUGUUGGAUGAAUACGGACAUUCAUUUCUGACUUUGAAUGUAAUGUAACAUACAUUUUAAUUUCUUUUUAAAUAUAUUUGCAGAUUGCUGGAAAAUAUGCUCAAGAGAUCGAUACUUUGAAGGAACAAUCAAGGCUUAUAUUAUCUGCAUCUUAUAUAAGAACAUUGGCUGAGAAAUUGGAUCUGAUAGACAUUGUUGAGCGCCUUGGUAUUGCUUAUCAUUUUGAGAAACAAAUAGACGAUAUGUUGGAUCAAAUUUACAAAGCAGAUCCUAAUUUUGAGGCUCAUGAAUACAAUGAUUUACAAACUUUAUCCGUUCAAUUUCGACUAUUGAGACAACAUGGUUACAAUAUCUCCCCAAGUAGGUCUAUUAUACACAUGUUUUUCGUUUAUUGUUAUAUUUAUGUUUCUAGCUUAAACCAAGGAAUUUUUUAUUAUCUUUUUCACUUUUACUUACUAAAAGUUAAUCUUUUAUUUUUGUUCAUGAUCCAGAACUUUUUAGCAGAUUCCAAGAUGCAAAAGGCAAAUUUAACGAAUCUCUUAGUAACGACAUCAAGGGUCUUUUGAACUUAUACGAAGCCUCACAUGUAAGGACUCAUGGAGAAGAUAUUUUGGAAGAGGCACUUGCUUUCUCUACUGCUCAUCUUGAAUCUGCAGCUCCACAUUUGAAGUCACCUCUGAGUAAGCAAGUCACACAUGCCCUUGAGCAAUCUCUCCAUAAGAGCAUUCCAAGAGUUGAGACACGAUACUUCAUCUCUAUCUACGAAGAGGAGGAACAGAAGAAUGAUGUGCUGCUUCGAUUUGCCAAACUGGACUUCAACUUACUUCAAAUGUUGCACAAACAAGAACUAAGCGAAGUAUCAAGGUACACUAAUAAUUUACAUUAACAAUAUAAAUUACUUGUUACUCGAUAAUAAUUUCUCAAAUCAAUUCUAAAUUUUUAAGAUUGAUUCUUAUUUUAUAGGUGGUGGAAAGAUUUGGAUUUUGUGACAACACUUUCAUAUGCUAGGGAUAGAGCAGUGGAAUGUUACUUUUGGACGAUGGGGGUGUAUGCUGAACCUCAAUACUCUCAGGCUCGUGUCAUGCUUGCUAAGACUAUAGCAAUGAUUUCUAUAGUAGAUGACACAUUCGAUGCUUAUGGCAUUGUAAAAGAACUUGAGAUCUACACCGAUGCCAUACAGAGGUAUGGACUACUUCUCAAACCAUUUUAUCAUUUAAUUGGAAGACCCCAUAAAGGCGGGAAAAGACCAUAUCAAACAACAUAUUUGUGUUCAAUUUCAUAUAUUCCCNNNNNNNNNNNNNNNNNNNNNNNNNNNNNNNNNNNNNNNNNNNNNNNNNNNNNNNNNNNNNNNNNNNNNNNNNNNNNNNNNNNNNNNNNNNNNNNNNNNNNNNNNNNNNNNNNNNNNNNNNNNNNNNNNNNNNNNNNNNNNNNNNNNNNNNNNNNNNNNNNNNNNNNNNNNNNNNNNNNNNNNNNNNNNNNAACCAAUUGUGAAGCUUUUUCUCCCAAUUUUUGUUUGUAAUGAAAUUUAUUCUUUGAAGAAGUACGGACGUUUGAAUUUCUUUUGGUUGUUAUCGACAGAUGAAAGAAAUCGUGAGAAACUAUUUUGUGGAAGCAAAAUGGUUCAUUGAAGGAUAUAUGCCGCCAGUCUCUGAGUAUCUUAGCAAUGCAUUAGCUACCAGCACUUAUUACUUGCUUACGACUACAUCUUAUUUGGGCAUGAAGUCUGCUAACAAGGAAGAUUUUGAAUGGUUGGCCAAGAAUCCUAAAAUUCUUGAGGCUAAUGUGACGUUAUGCCGAGUCAUUGAUGACAUAGCCACCUAUGAGGUUGAGAAGGGUAGAGGUCAGAUUGCAACUGGAAUUGAAUGUUACAUGAGAGAUUAUGGUGUAUCCACAGAAGAGGCCAUGGAAAAAUUCCAAGAAAUGGCUGAGACAGCAUGGAAGGAUGUAAAUGAAGGAAUCCUUCGACCAACUCCCGUCUCUACAGAGAUUCUCACUCGCAUUCUCAAUCUUGCUCGCAUUAUCGAUGUCACUUAUAAGCACAAUCAAGAUGGAUACACUCAUCCGGAAAAAGUACUAAAACCUCAUAUUAUUGCGUUGUUGGUGGACUCUAUUGAAAUUUAAAUCAUCGAUUGUUUUGUACAUCUGGGAGCACUUGCUUCCCAUCCCCUAAAAUUAUAAGUAUUUGAUUGAUGCCUUGUUGGUAUCUAUGCUGCUACCUAAGAUAGGAGUUGCUGGAGAUGCAUGUUAUAGUGCAGUGCAGUUAAUUCCUAAAUUUUUUUUGUAUCAUUAUUGACAUUUUAAAUAUAUAUAUAUAUCACUGCUUUUUAUAGCUACUCUUUUUAGCUAGAGAUUUCAGAUUAAAUCGGUGUCACUUCAGCAGUUGCAACAGAUCCUGAUUAACCGUAAGUAAUGGUGAGUUAAUGUCAAAAUAAGCCCAUGAUAACACAUCAAAAUAUAAAGAGAAGCAAACUCACAAAUAUAAUAAACCUCUUAAAAAUAAUACGAAGUAUCAAUUUCAUACUGGAAGUAAAACAUUAAAAUCGCCAUAAUCUCAAACACAAUUCUACUUAUAAGGCAAAAUGUGAUAAUAUUCCUGCCAUCUUUGAGAAAAAAAUGAAAAGUUCUUUUCUUGAAAAUUUCUAAUGGCUGCUUUAUGAUGGAGUAAGGACUAGAGAGUAGAAGUAGUAUGAGUGGUCAUAUUACACUGAUCUGCAGUGGGUGUUUACACCAGAUUAUAAAGCCUCUCAAACACUGCUGUCUGGCGGACAGUCCUCAACGACCCUUCGUAAGGUCUAGCUGAUCGAACUAUCAGAAAAUCCAGAGUCAGCUAAUGAUUUUAACAUCAUCAUAUAUGCAACAAUAAACUGUUGCCUUUCAUGCUUAUAAUUACAUUGAAACGUAACAGUAUAUGCUAAUAAUUUCCAUAAAACAUAAUGUUUACAAUUUAAUAAGAUGAGUGGUUGCUUCCUCUCUAAGAUGUUUUCACCUUAAGUACUCACAUGUACUGAAAGAUUCGUGUAAGCCCAAAUUAAAACCGAUUGAAGACAUCACUAUUGAAACUCUUUCUUAAUUUUUUACCAUUGCCUUUUCUCAAAAUAUAUGGUUGGGAAUCAACGAGAAGAUUACCCUUACGGCAAGGGAUAAGUGAAAAAAUAAAGUUAUACUUUGCCUCUCUCAGAUAUGCACACCGCCAGAGGCAAAUUCAGGAUUUCAAGAAAACGGGUGUACAAUUACUUUAAAGAUAAGAUCAAAAAAUUUAUAAUAACAAUAACUAAGCGAGCAAAACAUAAAAAAAAUCAUUACCAGUUUACAAUUGUACUCGGCGAGAUUUCAUAUUUUGAAAACGAUCUACUAUCAAUUUUCAAAUAUCUUCCACUCUAUCUUACAAACUAAACAACCAUUCAAAAAAAAUUCACCAAUGCUAUUACGUAGAUCAUUUUGAUGAGCUUCAUUGAGGAGAAUCACAUGUUCAUAAUAAAGAAGAGGAAUCACACCCCUUUCACAUUAAAAAAAUAAGGGAAUCACACCCUUCAAAAUUGAUAAUAUAAUAUAAAACACAUUCCUUACAAGUUACAUCCGCAAAAUAUGUAAGUUUGUGAUAAUCAAUUCAUUAGCUCUUGAUGAGUUCCUAUUAUAAGUAAUGGCAAGAUUAUUUUUUAUGGAAACCUUUAAUUAAAGUGACAUAUUUUUAAAAAAAAAUGAUUUUGUUAGUUUGUUUAUUAAAAAGAGAAAUCAUAAACUAAAAAAAAUUAGUUUAAACUUUCAGAAUUUAGAUUCUUCUUUUUUCAAGCGAAUUGUGACUGACUGGAAUCAAACUUGGGACCUUGGAAUUGAUAUCAAGCUGUCAAACCAGUGAACCAUCCAGCCAUUUUGAGAAAGGAUUCCACAGGUUUUGAUUUAAUAUAUUCUUUAAUAAUUAUACAAAGCCGGAUGACCACGGAUUCCAAUGACCCAAUUUUAAUACAUAAAUUCGCCCCUGCACUCAGCACUCCAUUGGCGAUGUGAACCCCUUAAUUUUUUUUUAAUGUUUUUUUUCCUUUAUAUUUUAAGUUCCCUUAACUACAUAGUAGACUAAAGAAAUUUAAGAUUCUAAGUUCAUCAUAGUAGACCCAGCUACUCAUGUGCAUAGCGAUAUGAUGAACACAAAUAAAACAUAAUUUGUUGUAGUUAAAAAAUCCAGAGGAUCGAACACGCCAUGCACUGAAGGAAAAUCAGAGGACUCAAGGAAUAUAAAAUUAGAAGAAAAUGCAUACAACACAAUAUAUUAGUAGUAAGGAUGAUGGAAAAAAAAAAUAGUCAAGGAUGUCAGCAUGCAUUCAGUAACAAAGAAUUUGGAAAACGUGAAAGACGCCCCUUGUUGAGUUGAUUUAAUUUAAAGUAGAAAAAAAAGGCAUGCUGUUCACAAGAAUUAAGAUGCACAGAUCACAGAUAGUGAAAUUAAAUCCAAAAAGAUAAAAAACAUUUUACCAUAUUAUAAUAUAUCUAUAGAGAAGCUAGUGAUUAGUUAUCAGUAUAUAGUCAAGUGAGGCAACCGCCAACCGGACUAGUACACUAUAUUAUUAAAAAAAUUCAAUCGUGAAAGAUGGCUGAGACAAAGGCUCUCGCCAUUCAUUCAUUAUAAAUACUCAUUUCCUUCUCUUACAAUUCCAUCACUACUUGUUCAAUUUCCCUAACAUUUAAGAAACAAAAGAAAUUGUUCGAUGGCCCCAGCUGCUGCUGCAGUAAUGAGUAACUAUGAAGAGGAGGAAAUUGUUCGCCCCAUUGCUGACUUCUCUCCAAGUCUUUGGGGUGAUUAUUUCCAUUCUUUCUCAGUCGAUAAUCAGGUAGUAUUAAAUGAAGUUCACCUGUGAUGCCGCUGUUGGAACAGAGUCGUUCAACGUUUUCUUUUUAAAUACAUUUACAGGUUGCAGAAGAGUAUGCUCAUGAGAUCGAAACUUUGAAGGAACAAACAAGGAGUAUAUUGUCAGACGAUGCUUAUGGAACAACAUUGACUGAGAAAUUGAAUCUGAUAGACACUGUUGAGCGCCUUGGUAUUGCUUAUCAUUUCGAGAAACAAAUAGACGGCAUGUUGGAUCAAAUUUAUAAAGCAGAUCCCGACUUCGAGGCUCAUGAUUACAAUGAUUUGUGCACUUUGUCUCUUCAAUUUCGACUACUGAGACAACAUGGUUACAACAUCUCUCCAAGUAAUAUAAUACAUCUUAUCUAUAUGAAUUGGAGAAUUAAGCGCUACUACUUACGCCACUGACAUUUAAUUAGUAAUUAAUUUCUUGUUUUCAACUUGAACCAGAACUUUUUAGCAGAUUCCAAGAUGCAAAGGGAAAAUUUAAUGAACCCCUUAGCAACGACAUCAGGGGUCUUUUGAACUUAUACGAAGCUUCACAUGUAAGUACUCAUGGAGAAGAUAUUUUACAAGAGGCACUUGUUUUCUCUACUGCUCAUCUUGAGUCUGCAGCUCCACAUUUGGAGUCACCUCUGAAUAAGCAAGUAGCACAUGCCCUUGAGCAAUCUCUUCAUAAGAGCAUUCCAAGAGUCGAGACACGCUACUUCAUCUCCAUCUACGAAGAAGAGGAAUUUAAGAAUGAUGUGUUGCUUCGAUUUGCAAAACUGGAUUUCAACUUACUUCAGAUGUUGCACAAACAAGAACUCAGUGAAGUAUCAAGGUAAUUAACAUCAAAUAUAUAAAUUGUUUGUUGAAAGUAAUUUCUCAAAUUAAUUCUAACAUUGGUACUUAUUUUGUAGGUGGUGGAAAGAUUUGGAUUUUGUGAC
rnacentral:lncRNA from 1 species